rnacentral:lncRNA from 1 species
ACUGAAGAUAUUAAAAAUCAGAACUUCUUCUCCAAGUUUUCAUUUAGUUUAUUUCACUUGUCCAUCGGAAUUUUAUGCAAAGAAGAUUAAAUAAAGACAAUAGCAUGCCAAAGAUUAAAACCCCUCAUUUCAAACUCUGCUAAUGCACAACUCUGUUUGGUUUUCUUCUCCAGAGACCAGACUGAGUGAGGAGUCAAGUUCUCCAGUGCACCAACAAUCUCCCGUUCGAGCAGCCAUCACCACCUCACUUGCCACUCCGGCGAGGCACCACCUUGCCACCACCCUCAUGUCUCACUCCCUCUCUACCACUCUCCCUAUUUCCCUCACCUCUUUCUCUCGAUACUGUGCUCGCUGCACAGAAACAGCAAGGCAACCACCGUCGCCUUUUUUCACAGCGAACUACGCCGUAACGAAACCAUCACCAUUAAUCUCGCUACCUAGGCGAGUUUUACCACCCUCUGCAAACUGCCUUCAUGCCUUCUAAUUUCAAUUCUUGCAUUUCUUGUAUGGUAUCCAUGUCUUGCACAUUCAAAUACUUAUAUACCGACUGAGAAUAACAAUAUAAAUCCCACACCCACCUCUUUUUCCCCACUUGAAAAAAUCACCUAAAAACAACAUUAACCACCAUAGUUUAAGAAUCCAAACAUGGCUCCAAAUUUCAAUCUAAUUAAUUAAAUUACAGAGGAUUCUACCUACCUCAUGAAAACAAAUAUGUUCAAUUAAAGAAAUUCCCUAACCAAUGCAGUGCAUCUUAAACUACUUCUUAACUAUGUCAGCCAUACCAAUCUAAUAAAAAAUCCAUGUUUCAAUCGAUUCUUAUUAAUUCCAACUCCAAGUAUUUCAGCAUCUAGAUUAUAGAAAAAUCAUAACAAAACAAAACUCAAUCUUGGUGCUAAAGCACACUUCGUUAACCUCACCUUCAUCAAGUCCAUGAUUCCUGCCAUGAGAUCUUUCUCUUAAUCCAGACUUGGCUUCAGAUGCAAGAUCAAAAUAACGAAGCAUUCAGUUCCAUUUCUACGCACAGCAAAUUAAAAAUUGAAAUAUGUUAUAAUUUACUCGGAAUCUUCAUAAGUAUCAUCAAAACAUAUAAACAGAUACAUUUGAAAACUGAUAAAGCUACCUAAUUAAGUUGAAAAGUUGCUAAUUAAGAUCAGGUGCCAGUGCAUCCAGUGAGCCUUCCAAGGAAAGAUGGCCCCAUGGACUUAGACCUUGAAAACUGAGGCUUGUUUUGCCUUGUAAUUGUAUGAUCAGUAGCAUUCUUAUGGAUUGUAAUUGUAUGAUCAGUAGUAUCCUUAUGGAUUCCCAGAUGAAUCCUCAAAAUUUUGUUCUCAUCUGUUAGCUUAUGCACAUGGGACAAAAGCCGCUCAAUUGUUUCACACUUCUCCUUGUUUCUCCUUAUCAACUCAGCUCACUGCUGCAUAUUUCGUCAAUGAGUUUCGAGAUCUUUUCAUGCAACAUUUUAUCUUUUUCAACCACAUUACCAUCAGAUUCUACACCAUGAUCAAUACUCUCUUUUUCCAAAUAUUCUUCAAAAGUACACAAACCAACCUUUUUUAGGACAGACCAGCAUUUGUUUGUUUUGAUGGCUCUGAAUUUGGUUUCCGUUUUCUCUUUGUGGUGGUCUGAUCAAGAUGCAGUCCAAAAACUAAUUUGAGUGCCUACACAGAUGAACAUCGCAUAAAAAUCAAAAAUAAAAAACAGCAGCAGAGAUAAAAAAAAAGACAAUAAUUCUAAAAAAAUUUAAAUCAAAAGCUUAAGACUAACUCACAGGAAGUUCUGUGAGUUAAUUUUUUGGGCAAAAAAAAAUUCUAUUAAUGCAUUCUCAUACAAAAAAAAAUUCUUUAAAUACUGAUUUCAUGCGAUCCAGGAGCUAAGUGCUUAAAUCAGAAAAAUUUCUUUAACCCAGAUACUCUUAUAUUGCAGUGCAGCAAAGUUUUUCUUGAACGCUGACGAAUAUCACUCUGAAAUUAACCCAAAUAUAUCUCAGAGAUUGCAGAGAUUCAGACAAUCAAUAAUAAGAUGGCCGGAAUGUUCUUUAUUCAUUUGUCCUCCAUACUCUACCCUAAUCUUCUUAGGAUUUUAGUUAAACAACUUGCUCCUGUAACAGCUAUAUUAAAGCAUAAAUAUUCAUGAACACUCAUCACCAAUAGCAAAAAGGCAUAAAGUAUUUUUACAUAAAUCUAAAGAUCCCUUUUGUGUCCCAAACCCAGGUCUGUCCUCUCUUUGCCUUCCUCCUUCAGGGCAUAAUUAGAGAUACCCACCAACAGUAUAACCAGAAAAAUUGCAGUGAGAUUUUAAAGUACGAACUUUAUUUGAUAUUGCAAUGAAAUAUAACAAAAUGUAAAAAAAUUGUUAUUUUGGUAAUAGACAGUGGAAUAACAGAAGAAGCCGAACCCAGAAAAAUUAAAAACACAUAAUCACAGUAGAAGAAGCAAACCCAAGAAAAUACAUAAAAUAAAAUAAAAGGGUGCAACUUUUAUUGGCGGGUGAAUGAGUAGACAAUAAAAAAAAGUGCAAACUUUGAGUUCAAAACAAACCUCGUACCAUUGAAAUUUGAGACUUGGAGUCGCCCACGUGAAGGGUUUUAUGAGAAGACAGUAUUAGGCGUGCUGAAGUUAGUUUAUGCUUUUAGUUGUAAAUUCACAUCUAAUACUAGUUGAACACAAAUUUCAGCAAAUACACAGAAGAAAUAGCAAGAAUUCAUUUCAGAAAUGGGAAAAAAUUAAAUUAAAAAUAGAAAACAAAGGGCCGAAAAGCUGCAUACCUAAACACAAUUUCAUAUCUUUUUAUCCUCUUCGAGUACCGAUCCAUUCCAGAGAGAGGGAGAGAGGAGGAAGGAGACGACGAAGGGGGAGAGGAGGGAGAGGAAGGCGAGAGGAGGAAAACGACGGAGGCGAUUUACUGUCUGUGUUGUUCUCGCGGGGACUGCGAGAUGAACGAGGUGAGGAAUGACCAGGUGGCUCUGGGCUCAAGGUCAGUGAAGCAGUGGCGAAGCCAAGAUUUACCGAGGGGAGGGGAGGGGCGAAAUUCAAAAGAGUGCAAAGUUAUCGAAUGGUUGCUUUCACAUUGGAGAGUGUAAAGUUUUGAGUCAAUAUUCAUAGCAAAAGAUAGUUUUGCAUCAAAGUUGUUGUAAGCAAUAAUAUCAAAACUAAUGUAAGAAGCUUAAAUUGGCAAAGAUUAUAUCGUAAAAAAUAUUGUGUGCUAGUCAAAUAGUGGACCUAGCAGACCUAGGCGAUAUCUAAGCAGAAGCCUAGAUGGAUUUAAAUUAUCGUAAAAUAAGUAUUAAACAAUAUUUACAUUGUUUUUAAAAAAUAAUACAAUAUUUAUAGAUAAUGUGAGAGUUUAAGAAAAUACGGUGAGAGUCUUAAAAGAGAAAAUAAAAGGGAAGUGUUAUUGGCACUCCAAAAAUCUCAUUCUACACUCCUCACAAGUGUAUUUUUAUUUCUAAAUAUAGAAAAUUUUGAAUGUAGAAUGAGAUUUUUAGAGUGCCAAUAACAAUUCCCAAAUAAAAAUACAUACACGAACAAAAAUUUGAAAAAAAAGAGAGAAAUAGGUUAAUAAGGACAAUACUUGGGUACUGCCUUUUUUCAAUGACUACAAUGUCACUCAGUAAAGUUAAAACAUGUGUCCUACUUUUCUUAUUAAAACUAGCAACCAAACACCCUCGUGUUUAAGGAAGACGGGCAUCCAAACAACCCAUUUAUUCCUUUCGUCCCUAACAUCUCCGCACGUCUGUAUACCAUGGUUUCCAUUGCUCUCAUCAUCACCACUCCAUUUCAAACAUAAGCACAAACACAAACAAUAAUCCAGCAAUAAUUUACCCAUUUGAAAACCCAAUUUUUUUUUUCAAAUCUGGACAAACAACCAAAUUUCAUUGCGACCCGCCACCAAUCCUUAUCUCCUUCGGUGACCCACCACCAAUCCUUCUCUACUUCGACGACCCACCUCCUCUCACUCUCUUCUACAGAAAGACUAACUCCUUGUCCUUCUCUUGAACGACGGCGAUUGCUGAAGACUGUCUCCCCCACAGCAAUAGAAACCAGAUCACUGGAGCGGGAAUUCUCAUUUCCGACGAGAGCGGAGGGGCUGAACGAGCGCUCUUAGGCAUGUUUUCCGGCGAGGGGAGUGGCGGCCGCCACUCCUUACCCUCACGUAGCUUCGCCACUGUCAGUGAGAAAAUGAGAGACCUAAACGGCUAGGUUAGAAAUGAGAGUAUGGGUUGAGGGGCACAGAAGAUCUGGAAAUGAUUUUUACCUUUCAAUUUGGAAAUGAUUUUUGCUGACCACUGUCAUGUUCCGUGAUUUCUUCCAUCACAAGAAAUCAAGUUGGGCUCAAAUUGUAAUAGUUUGGGUUCAAUUUGCAAUUUACAGCUUUUAAGUGGUAUUUUAUUUUAGGGUUAAUAUCAGUUUACUAUCCUGAAAUUUUGUGAUUUUCAAUAUUUGGUACAUGAAAUUUUUUUCAUCCCAGAGUCAUACCUCAAGACUUAAUUUUGGGACAAUUUCAUACAACCGUUAGAAAUUCUGUUAACUAAUGACGUGGUGUUCACGUGGACAAUAAUUGAGCGCCAUAUGCCAAUAUUGGCCCACUCCAAUAUUAAAAAAAAUUAUAAAAAAAAAAAAAAGAAAACCCAACCUUCCCUCACCCACCCCCUCCCCCGGCACCCUCUCCCUCUGUUCUCUCUUCUGCAAGUCCCAGCACCUCUCGAUUUUCCUUCAAUUUGACCCAUUUGGGACUGGGAGCCAAAUUAGACUAGGAGUUGGAAUUUGAGGUUCCAGGGGAAAUGGGGAAGACCCAGAUGGCAAUCUGAUUCACCAUUGGAGAUAAAACUGAAUCUGGAUAUUUGCACAGUGCAAAGCUCAGAUCCGUUCACAAUCAAGCUAUUACAGAAGAAGACUUGAGGUUUGGACUUGCAGGCGGCAACGUUGGCCAAUGUCCACACGUUCAGGCAGAGGCUGGUGACCUCGACGAGGAUCAGAAGGGAGAGAAUGGCGGCUGCACUGUGCGAAGCGACGCAGCAGCAUGUGAGGAAGAUGAAGAGUGUGAUGAGGAUGACAGCGAGGGUGAUGUGGGCGAGGAGAACAGAGGCGUGGAAUUGGAGAAGAGAGAAGGGAGAAGCGAGGGAAGAGGUGAGGGUUGCAGAAGAGAGAAAUGAUGGAGAUGGUGCGGGGGGGUGAGGGACGGGUGGGAUUUUAUUUUUAUUUUUAUUUUUUUUGUUUUUGUGUUUUUGUUUUUAUUUUUUUAAUUUUUUAAUAUUGAAGUGGGCUCAUAUUGACAUGUGGCACUCAGUUAUUGUCCACGUGGAUGUCACGUCAUCAGUUAACAAAAUUUCUAAUGGAAAACUUAACGGAUGUAUGAAACUGUCCCAAAAUUAAGACUAGAGGUAUGACUCUGAGAUGAAAAAAAAAACUUCAUGCACCAAAUGUUGAAAACCACGAAAUUUCAGGAUAGUAAACAGAGAUUAACCCUUUAUUUUACUAGUUUCUUUGUUAGUGACAAGUGGCAAGACAGACAUGUGUAAUGGGUUGGCUAUAUAGCCACACUCUCUCUCUUCCAACUGUUAGAAUGAAUUUAAUAUAAUUUCACAAAAGCUGAGCUAAUCUCUUUCCUUCUUCCUUCUCUAUUUAUGUAUCUUGCUCGGUCAAGGUUGAACGGUAGUUUGAAGUUGGUGGGUAUCUUGCAAGUUCCCUCAACUUUAGACUAUGGUAAUGGUCUAUCCAUUUAUACCUGUGGGUGGUGGUAGUGCCUAGUGGUGGCUUGCUGUUGUCUAUAAAAUGUGUGGCCUUAUGCUUGUUGUAAAUAAUGGGUAUGUUUGCCCACAUGUGUGUACUAUAUACUCACAAGCUAAAUAGUAAUGUUUUGUAAUUUUCCAUUGAAGUGGCUCUAUAAAUAGAGCACUUCAUUUGUGCAAAAGAGGGAUAUAAGAAGAAGAAAUAAAAGAGAAAUAUAUCUAAUAGCAAUAAUAUACAUUACUUCCUCAGCAACAGCUUGUGUUGGUAUAAUACUCUGCAACUGCUUCGUUCCUGUCCCGAGUAAAGGUUAUCUCUCUAUAAAUUUUGCCUAUUUAUAACACGUUAUCAGCACGAGUCUCUAAGUAUAACCAUGUCUCAUUUACAUUCACUAAACAAUAAAGGAAAUCAUUCUCUCUUUUCUCUCCGCCGAACGAAAAAAAAAAAAAAUGUUUCCUCUAAGGUUUUUCCUGUUCAUCUUCUUCAUCUGCCUCAACUGCGCGGUAUAUCCUCGUGACGAACUAUUUGCUCCAUGCCUGCUCGUAGUUCUCCAACUAGCGGUUACAUACAUCUUUGAUUACUUGUUUGGUUUGGAUAUUGAUUACUAACAUAGUAUUUAUAUUGAUUUUACUGCGAUCCAAGAUGGUGCGGUAUCAUCGCCUAUCUUGGACUGCAGAUCUACUUUUACUGCAAAUUUCAGGUGGAGCGGUAUAAUCGCCCUCCUUGCUCUCCAAAUUUAAAUUUACCUGUUAUUUAAUUUCAUUGCAAUUUUAGGUGGUGCGGUAUAAUCGCCCUCCUUGCUCUCCAAAUUUAAAUUUACCUGUUAUUUAAUUUCAUUGCAAUUUUAGGUGGUGCGGUAUAAUCGUCCACCCUGCUUUGCAUAUUUAAAUUUUAUCGCAAUUUUAGGUGGUGCGGUAUAAUCGUCCACCCUGCUUUGCAUAUUUAAAUUUUAUCGCAAUUUUAGGUGGUGCAGUAUAAUCGUCCACCUUGCUCUACAUAUUUAAAUUUUCCUGCUGUUUAAAGUAGUGCGGAAUAAUCACCCAUCCUAUACUUAUUUCGAUGAGAAUGGUGCGGUACAAUUGCCCUUCUCAUUAAUUGUGUAAAUCUCGAGCCUGAAGUUUCGAGUACUUAUCAUUUUGGCCUGAAGAUCAAAAAUUUGUAAGAACCAGAAGUUCUAACAAUAUAUUUCUCCAGUACACAUAUUACUGCAAGUUCUUACACACCUCAUUUUUCUUUCAGAAAAGAAAAUGGCAAACUUGGCAAAGCUUGAUUUUGCUGCCCUGGACAUUACUGGAAAGAAUUACCGUACAUGGGUACUGGAUACCAAGAUCCAUCUGGAAGCAGCAAAUCUUGGAGAAACCAUCAAGAAAGAGAGCAGCUCAUCCUCUCAAGAUCGGGCAAAGGCCAUGAUUUUUAUUCGUCGCCAUCUUGAUGAGGCACUAAAGAGCGAGUACUUAACGGUUAAAGAUCCGUUAGCCCUUUGGAAUGCCUUGAAAAGCAGAUACAAUCACCAGACAACGGUGAUUCUUCCAAAAGCUCGCUAUGACUCGACUCACCUAAGGAUCCAGGAUUUCAAAUCAGUGGCUGAGUACAAUUCGGCGUUGUUCAGAAUUACCUCUCAGAUGAAACUCUGUGGGGAUACUAUCACUGAGGAGAUGUUAUUGGAAAAGACUUUCAGCACAUUCCACGCCUCUAACAUGGUACUGCAACAGCAGUAUAAAGCGCGAGGCUUCACUGAAUACAACCAGCUGAUAUCUGUGCUCCUGGUAGCUGAACAGAACAAUGAGCUUCUCAUGAAAAACCAUAAUUCCCGACCUACUGGAUCAGCACCGUUCCCAGAAGUGAAUGUUGCUUCCCUUGAAAGGAAUACCAUAUCCUCCCGUGGCAAUAAUUACAAACGAGGAUGUGGCCACAAGCAAGGUCGGUGGAAAGGGAAAAGCAAGAACCAUGGUGUCCAGUUUCACAACCAGGUUCCAAGGUAUAAUCCAGGCCCGAGCUUUAAAAAUACCAAUCGCCAGAAAGGAAAAGCUCAUGUGAACACUCCUAGAAAUCAUGAAGGAGGUUGCCAUAGGUGUGGUGGCAACGGACAUUGGGCGCGUACUUGUCGCACCCCAAAGCAUCUGGUGGAACUAUAUCAAGCCUCCUUCAAGGAGAAGGGUGUCGAGAUCAAUUUCCUUGACCAGGCUAAACCAAUGGAAACCCCUGAUCCAGUGACCAAUUUAUCAGGACAAUUAAACACAACCCACCUGGAUGCUACAGACUUUAUUAAUGAAAGAGGGAAUGAAGUUUAUGGGUCCGAUUGAAUUAUUUAUGUUUAAUGUACUCAUGUUUUUUGUACCUGUGGUUUAAUGCUCGCAUUUUCAAUUCAAUAAAAGUAGUAUUCCAGUAUGAAUAAACUGCUUUUUCUUUACUCAGAGAUCAUGGAUAAAAAUUAUGGUUAUUCUCAAAACAAGAUCAAUGGCGGAGACUUUUGUCUUGCAGAUAGCGCAACCACGCAUUCAAUACUUCGAGAUCGAAAGUAUUUCUCGAAUUUGGUACUUGCAAAAGUAAAGGUAACAACAAUAUCAGGACCAUCAGAUGUAAUUGAAGGCUCAGGAAAAGCCCAGAUUAUGUUACCAAAUGGAACAAUAUUGUCUAUAAUGAAUGCAUUAUAUGCUACUCGGUCCAUUCGAAAUUUGUUGAGUUUUAAAGACAUACGUCUAAAUGGAUACCACCUUGAAACGAAAAUUGUAGAAAAUGUGGAAUAUUUAUGCAUUACCUCCAAUGAUACCCAGAAGCGUAUAUUGGAGAAGUUGCAUGGUUUAUCGAGUGGAUUGUAUUGUACAUACAUAAAGACAGUUGAGGCAUAUACUGUCAUGAACCAGAAGUUCAUUGAUUCAAAGGUUUACAUGCUUUGGCAUGACCGUCUAGGUCAUCCAGGAUCUACCAUGAUGCGUAGAAUCAUUACCAACUCUAAUGGACAUCCAUUACUGAGCAGACACAUUAAUGUCUCGAAUGAUAAACCUUGCAAGGCUUGUUCCCAAGGGAAGUUGGUAAUUAGACCAUCACAACUAAAGGUUGAUGAUGAAUCCCCAUCAUUUUUGCAAAGAAUUCAAAGGGAUAUUUGUGGACCUAUUCAACCACCUUGUGAACCAUUUCGAUAUUUUAUGGUUUUGGUUGAUGCAUCUACCCGAUGGUCACAUGUUUGCCUAUUGUCUACUCGAAAUGUAGCUUUUGCAAGACUUCUUGCUUAGAUAAUUAAGUUGCGAGCACAGUUCCCAGAUCAUCCCAUUAAGUCCAUUCGACUUGAUAACGCUGGUGAAUUUACGUCUCAAACCUUUGAUGAUUACUGUAUGGCAUUGGGCAUUGAUGUUGAACACCCUAUUCCUCAUGUCCAUACUCAAAAUGGUUUAGCAGAAGCAUUGAUCAAGCGGCUUCAAUUAAUAGUCCGCACUCUGCUUAUGAAAACCAAAUUGCCAGUUUCUGCAUGGGGACAUGCCAUUCUACAUGCUGCAUCAUUGGUUCGAUUGAGACCUAUAGCCAACCACCAAUACUCCUCAAUACAACUCAUGUUUGGACAUCAGCCAAACAUUUCACAUUUACGAGUUUUUGGUUGUGCUGUUUAUGUGCCUAUUGCACCCCCGCAACGCACUAAAAUGGGACCUCAGCGUAGACUGGGAAUUUAUGUGGGUUUUGAUUCACCAUCUAUUAUUAGAUAUUUGGAACCCUUGACAGGUGAUAUAUUUACAGCUCGUUUUGCUGAUUGUCAUUUUGAUGAGACAGUCUUCCCAUCGUUAGGGGGAGAAAAGACCGUUCCAGAAGAACGGAAAGAGCUGACAUGGGUUGUUCCCACCUUAUCUCAUUUUGAUCCUCGAACCCUUCAAUGUGAAAAUGAAGUGAAAAGGAUCGUUCAUCUUCAAAGCAUUGCCAAUCAAAUGCCAGAUGCAUUUAAUGACGUUAUGAAAGUGACAAAAUCGCAUAUACCAGCUGCAAAUGCACCUGCCAGAAUUGAUGUCCCUGUUGGACAAAAUAAAGUGGCAGCGAAUGAUUCAUCUGGUGCACGCCUGAAGCGUGGUAGACCACCAGGUUCAAAAGAUUCAGCCCCUCGGAAGAGAAAGACGAGAGCACAACUGAAUCCAAAUGAAAUCAUUCAGGAAGAGAGAGUAAAUGACAAAUCCACAAUUCAUGACUCUGGACUUCCAGAAGAAGAAAAUGGCCCUGAAGAGACAGAAGUACAUGAAAGCAAAGAAAUCUCCAUAAACUAUGCAUGUACUAAUGAAUUGUGGGAUCGGAAUGAAAUAAUCAUUGACGAUAUGUUUGCAUUCGCAGUAGCCACUGAAAUCAUAUUAAGUGAUGAUAUUGAGCCCCGCUCUGUUGAUGAAUGCAAACAGAGACAAGAUUGGCCUAAGUGGAAAGAUGCAAUCCAGGCAGAAUUAAAUUCCUUGGAAAGGCGAAGUGUUUUUGGACCAGUAGUCCAAACCCCAACUGAUGUAAACCCCGUAGGUUACAAAUGGGUAUUUACAAGGAAACGCAAUGAGAAAAACGAGAUUGCUAGAUACAAAGCACGACUCGUUGCACAAGGCUUUUCACAAAGACCUGGAAUUGAUUAUGAGGAGACAUACUCUCCUGUAAUGGACACAAUUACGUUCUGUUACUUAAUAAGUUUGGUGAUUUCAGAAAAACUUGACAUGCGACUUAUGGAUGUCAUCACCGCGUAUCUAUAUGGAGAAUUAGAUACUGACAUAUUCAUGAAAGUCCCAGAAGGACUUAAGUUGCCUGAAGCAACAAACAAACCAUGGGGUAUGUUCUCAAUCAAAUUAAGGCGAUCACUAUAUGGGCUGAAACAAUCUGGGCGAAUGUGGUAUAAUCGUCUCAGUGAGUAUUUGAUUAAAGAAGGAUAUAUCAACAAUGUCAUCUGCCCUUGUGUGUUCAUUAAGAAAUCCAACUCUGGAUUUGCUAUAGUGGCAGUAUAUGUUGAUGAUAUGAACUUAGUUGGGACUCCUGAAGAGCUCCAUAAAACUGCUGAAUAUCUGAAAAGCGAAUUUGAAAUGAAAGACCUUGGGAAAACCAAAUAUUGUCUAGGCCUGCAGAUCGAGCAUUGUGUUAGUGGAAUUUUGGUCCAUCAAUCAGCUUACAUUGAAAAAAUACUGAAGCGAUUUGGCAUGGACAAGGCUUAUCCACUUAGCACCCCAAUGGUCGUUCGUUCUUUAGACAUUAAGAAAGAUCCAUUCCGUCCAAAGGAAGAUGAUGAACUGGUCCUUGGUCCAGAAGUACCAUAUUUGAGCGUAAUAGGUGCUUUAUUGUAUUUAGCACAAUGUACUAGACCAGAUAUAGCUUUUUCAGUUAACUUGUUAGCCAGGUACAGCUCUGCUCCAACAAUUCGUCAUUGGAAGGGAGUCAAAGAUGUUCUACGAUACCUUCGUGGGACAACAGAUAUGGGUCUCUUCUAAUCAGACAAGCCCACAAAUGAACAAAUCCUUGUUGGAUACGCAGAUGCUGGUUUUCUCUCCGAUCCGCAUAAAGCCCGCUCACAAAAUGGAUAUGUGUUCACUAAUGGAGAUACUGCAAUUUCAUGGCGAUCAACGAAGCAAACGCUAGUUGCAACAUUUUCCAAUCAUUCGGAAAUAAUUGCUCUACAUAAAGCAAGUCGUGAAUGUUCUUGGUUAAGAUCAAUGAUCCAUCACAUCUGGAAUUCAUGUGGUCUACCUUCAAAGACAGACACUCCAACUGUCAUCCAUGAAGAUAAUGCAGCCUGUGUCGCCCAGAUGAAGGAAGGAUUUAUCAAAGGUGAUAAGACUAAACACAUAUCUCCAAGAUUUUUCCGCGCACAUGAGCUUCAGAAGGCUAAAGUUAUUGAAGUCAGACAAAUCCGUUCCAAUGAAAAUUUAGCAGACUUGUUCACCAAAUCUCUACCAAAGUGCACAUUUCAGAAGUUGGUACAGGGAAUCGGAUUACGUCGGCUUACGGAUUUGAAGAAUGCGGAAUCAGGGGGAGAUACAAUUCAGGGGGAGCAUCCAUGAUACAUGCAUGUUGUACUCUUUUUCCUUCGCUUAGGACUUUUCCCACUGGGUUUUUCCUAUCAAGGUUUUAACGAGGCAACCUAAGCAUGCUCAACACCAUCCGGGUAAAGUUGUACUCUUUUUCCUUCGCUAUGGUUUUUUCCCACAGGGUUUUUCCAAGCAAGGUUUUAAUGAGGCAACUGAUGUUGAUAUGUGGGCAUCCAAGGGGGAGUGUUGUAAAUAAUGGGUAUGUUUGCCCACAUGUGUGUACUAUAUACUCACAAGCUAAAUAGUAAUGUUUUGUAAUUUUCCAUUGAAGUGGCUCUAUAAAUAGAGCACUUCAUUUGUGCAAAAGAGGGAUAUAAGAAGAAGAAAUAAAAGAGAAAUAUAUCUAAUAGCAAUAAUAUACAUUACUUCCUCAGCAACAGCUUGUGUUGGUAUAAUACUCUGCAACUGCUUCGUUCCUGUCCCGAGUAAAGGUUAUCUCUCUAUAAAUUUUGCCUAUUUAUAACUAUGCUUUGUUUAUUGGAUAUUUAUAAUAUUAUACAAUUCCAAUUACUUUAGUCUAAAGUAGGAAAUCCAAUUGCAUUGUUCAACUUCAACUGAACAGUGUUUUGGACCGAAUUUCACUUUAUUUACAAAAUUUCCACCACCCCUAUCUGUCGUUCAAAUUUUGCUUAUAUCUUUGUGCAGUGUGUCUGUUGUAUUAUCUGGUCACAGAUACCUUAGUUCAGUAAUUUGAGAAGCAUGGGGAGACAAUAGACUAAUCAAAGAGAUGCAUGUGAUCAACGAUAAACAAGUAAGCAUCAUCCUCUUCCUUCUUUUGUUAUGAUUCGUUGUAUAGAGAAUUGAGAAAAAAGUUGAAGACAAUUCCGCGCUUUUGAGUUAUAGCAAUUAAUAUCUAAAAUGACAUUGAUUAGUUCACUUAAGUGUUGAAUCCUUCGUUAGUUUAUCUAUGGUGUGUGCUUGAGAAUGAAAGCAAUGGACAUUAUAUAGAAUUGAUGUUCCUUUUAAUGUCAGUAAAGAAAGGAGUUGUUCCUUUAUUAGCAAUUAUAUGAAGUAGGCAUAUUAUACAAUGUCUACAAUCGACUAUUUUACUUUUUGUAUAUAAGUAAAAAUGUUGAUCGAAAGCCACAAAAACUACCUAAGGGCCGAAGAACUGUUUAUGUUAGAAGAACAGAAUAUGGUGUAAAGCUUAAAUUUUGGGCACUUCAAAAUAUGUUUUUUUUUUCAAUUAUAAUAACUUGCAUGAAAAUUCAAUUGGGUUUGUUCUAGUCUCCAAGAAUUUUGCUUUGUUUGGUUACUAAUUAAUUUAUGUGGUGGGAGUUUAGUUUUUCCUUUUCUGCCUAUGUAUAUAUAAUUCGAAAUGGACCGUUCAAUUUGCUAUAUAUAAAUUUGUAAUCGAAAAGCUCGAAAAAGAGGUGAAUAAAAAACAAUGGUGGUAGAGUGAUGGAGUUGAGGAGUUGAGAGUUUACAGGGUUUACUUGAAUUUUUGUAUGAUGUCCCUGGUAUGUUAGAUCAUUGAAACUAACUGUCUGGUUGAUUAAUCACUAAUUUGAAAUAUUUAAAGUGUAACUUUUCUUUAAUUCACUUUUCUUUUGUAUUUUCAUUGGAGUGCAGAUAAAAGAUAUUUCUUUUAUCUUUUUCAACCACAAACUUUCCGAUGUCUUUUGAGAGUGGUCCAACUAGAGUAUUGGAUGACAAGUUUAGGUUUAAUAUAUACUUGAGUUCCCACAAGGAAGAUGGUAUUUUAGAAGUUAACAAAUUGGACCCUAACGAUAGACUUCUUAGAGAUACGUCCUCCCAGUUUGUAGCCUUUGUAUUGAAGUUGGAAUUGCUUCGCUCAACUGAUUAUUUCCCAGGCUUAAAUCUAUCAAGUUGUUGAAGUUACCAAUAUCAACGAGAAUGUUACCGUUGAUGUUGGAAAUGCUUAAAUCAAUAGUUAGGAGUGACGUAAAGAUAUGCUAACAGUUUGGGUCUUUUACGACUUGAAAUAUACGGCGUACAGACCGGCAUGCCUUAAAUGAUAUUAUUCAUGACAUUCAUAAAGUUCAUAUCGUAAUACUUACGCAUAAUCUCGUAUUCACAACAUCACUUUUAUGCAAGUAGUUAAAUAAAAAUAUUUAUGACUUAAGCGUUGUCUAUCGUAUCUCACAAUCCCAUAGUAUUCAAUCUACAACUUUCAUUUACCUCACAUAUCUCAGGUUUUGUCUAUCUCUCUCUGCCUCUCUCACGCAGUCUCUCUCUCGACUUUCACUCUCUCAGAUUCGUAUCUCCCAAUCCCAGCGGCCUCGAUAUCUCUCUCGUCUCCAACCACGAUACCACCAUCAUCUCCUGUCAACUCUCGACUCUCUCCCACCACCUGCACUUGACGGUCCUGACUCCUGACCACCAUCUAUGUUCCAAAUAAGGUAUGCAGUUAGGGAUUUAAGAUUGAAAUAAAUUGGGGUUUUCUAGAUUUAGGGAUUUGGAUUUGGUCAAUUCUGGAAUCAAAUGUUAAUUAUAAUUUGUUUAAUUUUGGCAAUUUGAGUGCAAAAUUAGGGUUUUGUUAUUUCAAGUGUUGACAGUAAGACCCUUUGUCAAUUAGUAACCACUUAGUGCUUGUUUUCGAUCUGUCAUUGAAUACGAAAUCACGACUUUUAAUUUUUCAUUUUACAAGUCAUCAUAAGGAAUAGAUAAUUCUAGAAUUAUAGUGCAAACUCUUGAUUUUCAGUUUCAGACUUGGUUUUGUUUCAGAAUUCUGAGGAAUUUUAAUCAUGGUGUUGGGGAUUUGUUAAUUUUGCUCUCUCGCUCUCUCUCGCUCUCUCUCUCUCUCUCUCUCUAUGAUUUGGUUGGGAUUGCAGAGUGACUUGGGUUUCUUUGUAUGCAUGUCCCGGACCUCCAGGUCACAUGGGGUACUUAGCAAGGUUUUACUUUUGCAAAGGAGAUGGAGAUGUUACAGACUUACAGUGAUACUGCAAUCCAAAUAAUCUGUUUUGAAAAUCCAAAUAAUCUGUGAGUAUGUUGUAGCAGUAGAAUAACACUGUGGGGCUUAGCCUAGUACUUAAAUUAUUGACUUUGUUGCUUAGGAUAAUUUGAUUGAGUUCCUUUGGUAUGAUUUAUAUUCACUUAUUUAUUCUAUUUAUUUUUACUAUUUUUCAGGUAGCAUUCAAGUCUUUGGUGAAAUUUUAAACGAAGAGGUUGCAAAUGCAGCGGUAAUGAGUGGAAAAGUUUAUACUUACUUUUAUUAGUAUUGAAGUCUUUAUCAAUUUCUAAGUUAACAUUUUGUUUUGACUAGCUCGUAACUUACCAAUCGAAUCCAUCCCCUUUGACUAGCUAGAGUAUCUUGGUUGGGAACUCUAUCUGUUCCCAGCGCCUAGUAUCCAAAGAUGAAGUUGAGACGGGUUGGGAACUCUCUCUUUCUCUCCUUUUGUUUUAGUUCCCAAGAAAGUUGAUUGGAUUGAAGAAAAUGGAACAAAAAGAAAUGAAAAAAAAAUUGAAAUUUGUUGGUGCUUAUGUUGAUGUUGAAUUUGUAAUAUAUUAAGACCCAAAAACUAGAUAAAUGGCUAACUUUGAUGUAAAUUGAUAACAGCAAGCCACUAGGUCAAAAAACAGUGAGUCUUACCUUAGAGCUUUUGGGGAUAUCAUAAUUGAUAACCAUAUCCACCGAUCGAAUAUCCAAUCUUGUACUUGCCGCAUCAAUUCUUCAUGCAUGAAAUGUUAAGAGACUCAUAAAUUUAUCUACUUGCAAGUAUAUGAUUUUUAUGCAGGUUAUAGGAAACAAUAAAAUCGUAAAGGCAUAAUUUGUGUAUAUUUUAGUCAUUUGAUACAUGUAUGAGUGUAAAACAAUAAAACUGUGAAGGCAUAAUUUGGGAUAUAGGUUUGUAUGAUAGUGAUUAGUUUUUCUUUCAGUAUCACUUUUCUUACUUGAGAUUAAAUGUGUAUUUCUACAUAUAGCAGCACAAUAGAUUUUUUUUUGCUCCAUGUGCUUAUGUCUAUGCAGAUAGAGAUAGCAAUUAGUGUGGUUCAAGCAUUAGGAGCAGUAUUUCAUUCUCAAAGGACUUUGUUUGAAGGUGUUCAAUGAAAAGUGAAGUCUUUCAAGUGACAAAUUUCUUUGUUAUUAGAGGCCUAUUUGGUAUUUCAUGUGUAGUUUGAUAUUGACCUUAGCUUUGUUCAACUUGUAAUACAUUUUGACAAUAUGAUUAUUUAUGAUUAUGGUAAAUGUGUAAUUUUGUCAAUUCUUAUAUAUAUAUAUAUAUUAAUUGUUGAUGUUAGUCUCCAUUUAUGAUGUACGACGUAUGCCGUAAUUGCUUUCACAGUAUUACGACACUAAACAAACGUUGUAUCAAAUAUAAAUUACGGCACACAGGUAUGCCGUAAUUGUUUUUGCAGUAUUACGACACUUCAUUAACACCGUAUCUAAUACCAAUUAAGGCGCGCAAGGCAUGCCUUAAAGAGUAUUUACAACGUGUUUUGCUUAAAUUAUUCACGGCUACUAUAGAACGUCGUAUUUGACAAAACAUCUUUUAUGACAUGGGUUUUUACUGCUUGGGGGCUCACGCUGUGAAUAAUCGUUUACGGCGCUCUUUGUGCACCACAAAAGACUAGUUAUGUUGUAGUGAUAUUAUGUAACAAAUGCUCAAUUUUCUUUUGCACUCUUUUAUGAAUUUCAUUUGGAUGGGAAUGGUUACGUGACAUUACUUGUUACACCAGAAAAUGUCUGGUUUUGGUAUAAAGACUUAACUGCAAAAAGGCAUCUGAAAGGUUUCGUUUAGCUACUAAGAAAGUUUGGGAGGGGUCAAACGUCUUAGGUUGAGAUUACAUAUACAAGGGUGUUAGAUUUACAUAAUGGGUUUACAUAAUGAGUUGUUGAUGACUACAUACACAUUGAGAAUUUAGCUUAUGUCUUUGUGUCCGAUGAGGGAGUGGUUUUUUUUUUUUUUUUUUUUUUUUUUUUUUUUUUUCGGGUGUCAUUCCAUUUUAAUCUUAGUUCCAUUCAAAUGAAGAUAUUUAAAGAACCUAACGUAAAACAUCUGUACAAGCAAAACACAUCUUAGCAACGCCAAUAAAAUUAUCUACGAGAGUUGAUCCAAUCCAGGCAAGCCGCACGGUGGGUUAUUGAGGACAAAGCUGCCGAGAUCCAUAUUAAAACUCCAAUUUGGCAACUGAUGAGCAACACAAUUCCGCUCCCUAGAUACAUGCUUCAUGCUUCAGCUCAGCUCACAUCUAACCAAUUGACUCAUCAAUGUUUUGCAUAUGCUCACAAUUGUAUCAAGAGGAUAAUAACUAUCAACCAAAUUUUGUUAGAACAAAGUGACAGCAAACACCUCUGUCAAUAAAAUCUCCUUAUCCCAAAUGGACGCAGAUUGUCUGCCCUCCUAGUUGUGGUGCCGUUCCAUGCCCUCCUAUUUUGUGCGGUUACGGUUAAACCACAUCAACAUUUUAUAUUAAUUUUUUAAUGAGAUAAUAAGACAAAAAAUAAUAAAAAUAUAAAAUAUUGACGUGGCUUAACCGUGGCUGCACAAAAUAGGAGGGCAUGGAAGGGCACCACAACUAGGAGGGCAGACAAUCCUUGUCCAUCCCAAAUUGGCUGAGAACUCUACCCACACCAAUAUUGAACCAUCAACGUCAAGCUUUCACCCAGUUCUCGACUUUUUGCGUGUUUACUACAAGUAUGGAAUCUGAAGGGCUAGUUGAUUCGUAGCUCAAUACUUGAAAAUUAGGAGUCAAAUCAAAAUGUUUAUUUUUUAUUGGUAACACAUUUGCAAAUUUGGUUUAAAAAUUAAGUUACCUGAUAUUAUCCUAAUAUAAAUAUCUUUUGACAAAUAAAAAAUGCAUACAAAGAUAAAUUUGAGUGGUGAUAUCCACACACUCAUUUUUACCUUUCACACACCUUUAUUAUUUCCCGGGCUGUUGAACAAUUGAAACAAUCAAAUAAUAUAAAUUAAUAAGUGAUGUGUGAAAAAUAGAAAUAAGCGUGUGAAGAGCCACAAAACUAAACAGAUACCCAAAAAUACCACAACACACAAAGUCAGUCGUUACAUUUCAGUUGCAAAUGAAAAUUAUGAACACUGGGAUUUGCUCUCUCUAUCGCUGAGAGAUUCUCUGUUAUUGAUGGCAAUGGCGGACAAUGGCAGUCGUCUGCAAAUGCAUAACAUCGAGGAGGAGCUUCUUCUGCUUCAGAGCAGUCAGUUUCGACGACAAGCCCGACCGCCGAAACCUCCUCCGAAACGUUUUGACCCUUCCCGUCUUUAAAAAAGGCCUCUUCACUUGCUGCAGCCCAUCCCUUGCCGGAAGCAGUAUUCUCAGGUUUAUCUCACACAAUUACGGGUUUUUCCCGUUUUCUUUUGAGUUGCACGGUCUGUUUGGUUCCCCAGAAAACGCAGGAAAUUUUUGAAAGUUUUUGAGCUUCUGUAGGGUUUACUAAAGUGAAUACUUGACUAGGUUCAGUUGGGUUGCUGAUAAAUUCAAACAACGAAAUUUAGACGCGAAUGCUUUUAAUUGAUUUGAAGAGAAGUUUCUGAGCUAGUUUAUUGCUUUUGAAUGUUCAAAUUGGAUCCUAUAAAUGUGUCUGUGUGAUAAUUAGAUGAUUUGUUGCUUGCAGUAUGGAAGCACGAGAGAAUUCCAUAUAUGUGAUGAUGCCAGUUGAUGCCUUUUGCAUUGAUGGUACAGGGCGUCCAAGGAUUAGGAAGUAAGGUCAUCUCCAACCGAAGGGUCCAGAGGGCCAGAGGGCCGAAAAUAGCCCUAAAACCGUCUCCAACCGAGGGCUAGGCCAGAGGGCUCUGGAAUCUGGGAGGGCCCCACGGGAUCGGAGAGGGCUGGAGGGCUGGCUGCUUUCGGCCAGCCAGCCAGCCCCGGGCUGGCUUAUUUUUUUUUUAAUAGUUCUACUAUUAGUGUCGGUUAUAACCGACACUAAUAGUUUGAAUGUUUUUUAAUACAACGGCUAGUAGCCGUUGUAUUAUUAGGCCUUUUUUUUUUUUUUUUUUUUUUUAACUUUUUAUUUUCCCUUUUUUUUUCCUUUUCAUAUUAAUCAAAUUUUGUUUCAUAUUUUUUUUCAAUUCUAUUUUACAAAAUUUGUUUCAAUUUUUUUUUAAAUUCUAUUUUUUUCCUAUAACUUCUAUUUUACAAAAUUUGAUUCAUAUUUUAUUUCCUAUAACUUCUAUUUUACAAAAUUUGAUUCAAAAUUUGUUGACGUCACCUAGCCGUUAGAUUUGAAUUUAAAUUGUAGUUUUUAAAUAAUAAAUUAUGUUUGGCCCUAUGGCCCUUUGGCCCUCGGUUGGAGACGGUUUUUUGUGACAGGGCUAAAACGAGCCCUCUGGCCCUCUGGCCCUCGGUUGGAGACGGAGGCAAAUAUGGCCAUGUACUGUUUAUUAAAAUAUUAAUAUCUUGGAGAAUCUUGGAGGGCCAGAGGGCUAAAACGAGCCCUCUGGCCAGUCAUCGGUUGGAGAUGGCCUAAGUUUUAUUAUGACUUUAUGUUGAUGAGGCUAUGAUGCAUUUUCAUUCUUAAUUUAAUUGUUGUACUCUUUUAAACGACAGAAUAUGAUUAGCUACAAGGUUGCAGCUAACUAUUUUGAUCUGUUCCCAAUUCAAGUUAUGUACGCGUACAUUUCAAAAUGGUUCUAAAUAAAAUUUAUUUUUAAUUUAGUUUCCUUUCAAGUGAGACAGAAUCUCCUUAUAUAUUGCACGAUUUAUUGUUGUUUCAGAAUCAAGGCCUUAACUGUAGCUCUGAAAGCACUCAAGUUGGCUGGUGUCCACGGAAUUGCAGUUGAGGUUUGGUGGCCUCUUGCAUAUGAUUGGUCUCUAUAUGAAGGGCUUUUCAAACUGAUUUCUGACUCAGGUUUGAAGUUGCAUGUUGCCUUGUCUUUUCACUCAAACGUUAACUCUUCUUCUAGCAGAAAAGGGGGUGUAACUCUUCCGCUUUGGAUCAUAGAGGUUUGUUUUCUCGGCAAUUUUGAAAUCCCAUUUGACUGUUUGGCCUUUUAUUGGUAAAAGUGCACAUGGCUGUACUGGAAUGAUUAAUUUACCCAGUCAUACUCUUUUGUGACAACAUAAGAAACAUAACCCAUUUGGAUGACUAGAGAUAGUAUCAACUUUUCUUCAGUUUCCUGCUCUGCAACAUGCUAUGGUCCUGUGUUCCCCAUUAGCAUACUUGAUUUUAGCUUUGAUGUGCAUAAAAAGUUUAUCUUUGCAAAGGGAUGUAACAGAAAAAUGAUAGUUUGGCCUUCAUUACAUGCCCAUCAGUUUGAAUCCUGAAUUUAGAUAAAGAAGUUGACCUCUUCUGUUUUUUUUUUCCUCCCAGAUUGGUGAUCAGAAUAAGCAUAUAUAUUAUCGGGACCAAAAUGGAUUUUCCAAUGAUGAUUAUCUUACACUUGGAGUUGACCAUGUUCCUCUCUUUUGCGGCCGGACUGCUCUCCAAUGUUAUGAAGAUUUCUUGUCAGGUUUUGCUAAGAAAUUUGAAUCCUUAAUUGGAACUGUGAUAGAAGAAAUUGGUGUUGGUCUUGGAUGUUACUGUUACACUAGAACCACAAGUAUGAAGCCAGUCCAAUGAUUUCUUAUGCAACAUUGUUACAUUGCUCACACUGAUAUCCUGCACAUCCUUUUGGUGAUGGUAGAUGGAAGUUUCCUGGAAUCGGUGAAUUCUAAUGCUAUGACAAGCGCAUGUAUGCUAAAAAUCUUUCAUUCCUGUGACAGAAAUUUGGUUGCUAUUGAACUUUUCCUAUUUACAACGUUGUUCCUUUUAGGAUGGGCGACCUAAAGAUGGCUGUAGGCAAGGAAGGAAAGCCUCAGUGGGGAGGGAAGGGACCACAAAAUGCUGGCUGUUACAACAGUCUCCCAUCUGAAGUUCCAUUCUUUGAAGAGGGAGAGGAAAGCAUUCUUUCUGAUUAUGGGUGUUUUUUCCUUGUAUGAAACUGAUGGAAGCAUCUUGCUUUAUUAUUUCCCAUGAAAAAUUUCUGCAUAACUGAAGCCUAGUGUAAAUUGCAUGAAAUCAUUGUUUGUAUUUCAUCCUCGAACUACCACAUUGUUUCUUUAGCCAGGAAACACUUCUGUGUACGUGCCUGUAAACAACAUGGGCCUGCAAUAUAUAUUUUCAAUCUUUAGUGGAACUUUUCUUAUAACUAACUCUAUUUGCUUCUAGGGGUUAUACUUGCAGACUGUUUGCUACUGGAGUCUUAAAUACUCUUACGCAACAUGAUUAAAAGUAGAUGCAAUUUGAUUAAGAAUGAAAUGCAUUGAUGCUUGUCUUCUGGAAAGAAAAAAAAAUCAUCAUAGGAUGUACUGGUUAGUAAACUAAGGACAAUUAUGGAUGUAUAAGUGGAAAUUUAAAUCAUGUAUGGUUCUUUAUCAUGCAAUACUUGGCAUAACAUAAUUAAACUUAUUGGAAAACAAUGUGGAGCUUAGGAGAUCUGACAGUGGCUUGACUUGUUGUAGGAAUGGUACAGUGGUCGGUUGCUCCAUCAUGCAGAUGAUAUUCUUGCAAAGGCAGCUAACAUUCUGAAGAAAUAUCAAGAAUAGAAGCAAACUUCUAUUCUAUUGGCAGCUAAAAUUGGUGGUACCAGAUGAGAGCACAGCCUGCUGAAUUGACAGCUUGAAACUACAGCAGUGCUCUUAAAGAUGGUUAUGAUCAUGUUGCUUCAAUUUUGUCUCGUCAUGGAGCUGCUUUGCAUGUUUCGUAAGAUUCCAAGUUUUAAGGUUCUGACUAGAAUUUUGUUCAUUGUCUAACCUGAUAAUUAGGGUUGCUUACACAUUCGCUUGAUUUCAAAUGUAUCUAUCUACCAUGUUCACGUACUAAAUAUUUUAUUGCAGCAGCUUAGAAAUGAUGGAUGGUGAUAACCCGGCAUCCUAUCUUUGCAGUCCAGAAGGAUUACUCCAACAGGUACGGGGCCUGUUAAUUAAUAACACUUCCUUAGCUUGUGCUUUGUUGGUACUUUUUUUAACUUACUUUAGAAAUUUUAUCUGUAUAAUUCAAGCUUUUAAGUUAGGUAGGACUAACCCAUGUAGCUGUGCUUGUCACAGCAGGUCGUGCAGGGUCUCUAGGUUCAACAUGGGCUUGGAACGGGCCAAUAUGAGCUUUUUCAGUAUUACAGAUAUUAGGUAUUGUUGAUAUGUUUUUUAGGCUUCUUUUAGUGUCUUAUAAUUCAUUCUGAAGUAAAUCUUUAGUUUUAAUUGGGUUGUCUUGCCCAGAUAAUAAAGAAGAAACAUAUGACAAGUUGAUCAAUAACCAUUUUUCUGUUUUAUUGAAGUUUGGAAUAUAAUUGAUAAUUUGAUAUUACUAAACAACAAAAAUAGAAUUGCAUCACUAUACCGUAUAUUAGUGUCGUACUACUUUAGAUUGGCAUGGUCUGUCCAUUUACACUGGUGGGUGGUGGUAGUGCCUAGUGGUGGCUUCUGUUGUCUAGAAUUCUAUCGGUCAUUUGGUUUCUUCGAUAAAAUGUCUGACCUUAUGCUUUGUUUAUUGGGUAUAUAUCAUAUUAUACAAUUCCAAUGUAGUCUAACAUGAUUCGAUUUGCACCAGAUAUGGAGUGUUUCAAAGAAAUGGGCACAUUUGAUCGGGAGAAAUACCAAUGAAGGAUUUGACAGGGUCAGUUCUUCCUUUGCUCAAGAACAAAAGCAAAUUUCAGCUACCAUUUAUUUCUAUUAGACAUAUAUUGGAGACUUGGGAGCAGCCUCUCCAUAAAUGGAGAUAAGGUUAGCCGACAUUCACCUCUCCCAGACCCUGCGUAAAGCGGGAGCCUUGUGCACUGGGUACGACCUUAGACAUAUAUUGGAUAUUGCAAAUGUCUUAUAACUAGAAACACAUGGCUUCUGAUAGCGUUAGUUAAACACUUCUUCUUUUGCCCAUUCUGUGUUGCGCGUUCACGCGUCUGCUUUUCUCUUGCACGUUGGUUUAUGGCAAAUACAUACUAACUAUUACCAUUCCCAGGCCGAAGCUGUAAGAUCAUUUACAUAUUUCAGAAUGAAUGAUAAGAUCUUUAGGGCUGAAAAUUGGAGUAAUUUCCUUCCUUUUGUUAAAAAGAUGAGCACAAAUUGGUGAAGCAACCAAAAAACCCAACUUAAAUACUAAAUUUAUUGAUCUAGAGUAGCAGCCUCACUACCCUAUAAUUUUUUGUCAAGGGCAUGUGUAGAAGUUAAGAAGUUUGUCACUUCCUGAUAUAUUGACUGAAAUAACUUUGUGUUUCCAUGGCAGGCGUUCUUGACCUGGAAGUGUAAAUUUUUGAAACGGAUUUGGUUGGCCGUAGAAACUAAAUGCUUUACUAUCAAAAUACGAGAAGAAUAAUUGGAAUUGCAAUCUUGGUACUACUGGUCACAUUGCCUAGUCAAAUACAGGUACAACAUUUCAAUUUAAGGAAUAUACACAUACUGUCAUAUCCGUCACUAUACGAAAAUAAUGUAGUCUUUGCAGAUCGAAAACAACAAUAAGAAAAUGGAUCCGAAAAUAUAGAGAACAAAAAGAACUAAGAGUUCACUCCUUCACAGUCCUUCAAAUACUUAGUCUUGAUUUUGGUGAGUGUGAUUGCAGCAUCUUCUUCACAGUCCUUCAAAAACUUAGUCUUGAUUUUGGUGAGUGUGAUUGCAGCAUCUUUCAUGUUAAUCCUCUCUCCCGGCAAUGCUGCAGUACAAGCUAAAGCUAAUCUCAUAACGGAUGAUAAGCAAUCCCUCUUGCUCACAAAAUCACCAUCUUCCUCCGCCCCAAGUAUAUCGGCAUCCACAACUUCACCUAUUGCAGCAUCUGGAAAUAAUGAAUCUGCAAUCCAUUGCUUUAAAUUCAUUUCCCCAACAAACAUCUCAUCCGUUGGCUUCCUUUUUGUGAAUGUCUCCAUGAGUACAAUACCAAAACUAUACACAUCCCCUCUUGUCGAAACGCUUCCUUCCAUCCCAAACUCUGCAAAAUUUGUAUGUGAAUUUAGUUAUAUAUGAUAAAAAGAAAAUUAUAACUCCUAAUAAGACCAACAUAUACAAAAUUGAGAAAAUACAUCACCUGGAGCCAUAUAUCCAACUGUGGCUAGGGUCAUGGUUUCUGUCAUCGAAUGUCCACCGCCGAUGAGUCUUGCAAUGCCAAAAUCAGCAACAUGUGCAACCAUAUCAUCAUCUAGUAGUAUAUUGCUUGGUUUCACAUCACAAUGAACAAUAGGUACCGAGUAACCAUGAUGAAGAUAUUCCAGUGCCAAUGCAACAUCUUUCAUUACGUCCAGCCUCUGCAGGAUAUUCAUGGAGCUGUUUGGAGAAUACAACCAGUUUUCGAGGCUUCCAUUAGGCAUCAAUUGAAGUAUCAGGGCUUUGAAAUCAAGUUCAUCGCAGCAACUUAUGAUUUUAAUAAGAUUCCGGUGACGGAUAUUGCUUAGCAUUUCACAUUCCCUAUCAAAACUUUUGAAUGCCCCUUCUACCUGUAAAUUGAAAACCUUGACGGCAAUGUCUAUCCCGUAUGAAAGUGUUCCUCUGUAUACUGAGCCAAAACCCCCCGUGCCUAGUAAGUUACUCUCGUGAAAUCCAUUUGUCGCAUUUACAAGUUCUAGGCGCGAAACUCUUCUCCAAAGAACUUGAUGUAGCGAGGCAGUUUCUCUUACAACUUCGACAUUCCUUUUGUUGCAUAGUAUCAGAAUCAAUGCAGCGGCCGCUAGGAGUAUUACUGGUAUGACCCCUGAGAUGAUAUAUUUAGCUUUCCUCCAAUUUGGCUUAACUUUUGUUCUAUUUUUGCACAGGGGAACAUGGAGUCGGGAAGCACCGCAGAGCGCACCGUUGGAUACAAAUGAAUCGGCAGAGAAGUUUCCGAAAGGCCCGCCGGUUGGAAUUUCUCCUUGGAGUUUGUUGAAAGACAAAUUCAGAUGCUUGAGAUACAAGAGUGCUUCCAAUGACUUUGGGAUCUCUCCAGAUAGAUUAUUUUGGGACAAAUCCAAGAAUUCUAGGCUUAGCAAGGUUUUAAAUGAACUGGGAAUAGGGCCUUGUAAAUAAUUGUUUGCCAAGGACAAAUUAAUCAUAUUUUGAAGACCACCAAUGCUACCGGGAAUGUUUCCGGAGAAGUGGUUAUUUGAUAAAUCUAUAUCCACCACUUCUUUCAACUUUCCGAUGUCUUCUGAGAGUGGUCCAACUAGAGAAUUGGAUGACAAGUUUAGGUGCAAUACAUACUUGAGUUCCCACAAGGAAGAUGGUAUUUUUGAAGUUAACAAAUUGGACUCUAACGAUAGAUUUCUUAGAGCUACUGCCAAACCACCCAAGCAGGAAGGAAUAGAACCAGAGAGCCGAUUAUGACCCAAACCUAACUCGGCUAGGUUGGUUAGUUGACAGAGUUCAUACGGGAUAUGUCCUUGCAGUUUGUUAUCAUACAGAAACAAACCUUGGAGAUUUUUUAGCCUCUGUAUUGAUGUUGGAAUUGCUCCACUCAACUGAUUGAUUUCCAGAUGUAGUUCUAUCAAGCUGCUCAAGUUGGCAAUAUCAACGGGAAUGUUACCCCUGAUGUUGGAAAUGCUUAAAUCAAAAUAUGUGAGUGGCGUAGAGAGAUUCCCACGAAAAGCUGGAAUCGUGGUGUUUAAUGGAUUACCUCCCAAGUCUAAUUUUGUCAAAUUUCUAAGAUUAAACAAGCAAGAGAGAGUAGAAGCAUCAAUCGUCAAAUGAUUCCAGAACAAGAAAAGAAGCUCGAGGUUUUUCAAGGAACAGAGCGUGCUAGGAAGAAACCCGGUAAAUGAGUUUGUGUCCAUGGCUAGGACCCUGAGCUUGGAAGCAUUGGAGAAGUUAGGGAGUGUCCCGGCCACGAGGUUAUUGGAGGAUACAGAAAAGAAUUCUAGGUUUGGAACAUUAAGACCUAUGUUUGCUGGGAGGCCACCUGAGAGCUGAUUUAAAGUAAGCGAUAUUACUCUAAUCAUGGAGUUAUUGAAGAGCUUGGAUGGGAUGACACCAUUGAGAUUAUUAGCACCCAAUCUCAAAACCUCUAACUGCGGAAGAUCACCAAUCUCAUCCGGUAUUGUACCUAUCACAAUGUCAGCACGUUUGCAUUAACUUUGUAACUUCGGUUUAUCUAAAAACUAAAAACGAAAUGAUUGUAAAACGCCCCCAAAUUUAUUACCUGUUAAAUUAUUGAAACGAAGAAAAAUCUCGGUUAAGUAGGUCAAAUUGCCAAGACUUUUGGGUAUGCUCCCACGGAAAUUGUUAGACUCUAAUGCAAUUACACGAAGCUCUUUGCAUUGCCACAGUUUGGAGGGAAUCAGACCGUCAAACUGGUUUUGAUUCAAAGAAAAUCGUUGAAUACUCGAAAGAUGCUCACACAUAUUGUCCGGAAGAAUACCACUCAUGUUGUUUCCGGAUAAAGCCAAAGUAGUCAAAGAAGAUAUGUUAAGGACAGGCACAAAAGCAGAGCCUUUAGGGCAUUGUCCUGCACAAACAACUCCUCCAACUGACCUAAACUGCCUAUCUCGUUCGGAAGUUCUAUAAAAUCAAUCCGUGUAUAUUGUUAAAAUCAUGUAUACAUAUAUAGGAGCAGCUUCUUAUUGGGAAUCCCGUUGUACCAUAGCAAAAGUGGGAUACAUUCUAAGGACCAUGUACUCACCAUAUAGGACCUCUUUUUUGCUCUAGAAUACGAGGGUCUUACACGGUCAAUAUACGAUCCUACAAUAGUCCUCUCAUCUCAUUUUUUGCCGAAGUUGAACAAGAUCCCAGCUAAGAAGGGGCUUGUGUUUAUGUGUGUGUGUGUGUGUUUGUAUAUAUAUGUAACAAAACCUCAGUCAUACAGUAUACCUUCGAACUUGUUGUCGUCAAGGUAUAUGCCCUUCACCAUUGUUAAGUUGCCUAUUUCUCUGGGUAUACUACCUGUUAAAUAUGUGCAUGCAUUCCAACAAAAAAGAAGGAAAAAAAAAAACAAACGAGAUGAUUGUUAUACAUCUUAUAUAUAGAGGUUAAAAUGAAACAAAGAUGUUAAAAUGUAAUGAUGAAGCAAGCAACAUUAAUUUAUAUUCCUAGGUAGUUGGUAAUGGUGGUAUGUACGUACCCGAUAGUUGGUUCCUCAUCAGGUAAAUGUUUUCGAGUGCAGAUAAGUUGAAGAUAGCAGCGGGUAUGAAACCAGAGAAGUCAUUAUCGUACAAUUUGAUGGUUUGAAGUUUAGCAAAGGACCCAAACCACAAAGGAAUGGUUCCCAUAAAGCUGUUGUUUCCAAAGUUAAUCGCCUUCAACCGGCGCAAACGAGACAGUUCUUGCGGUAGGGGACCAUGAAAACUAUUAUUCUGAAGGCCCAACUCAACGAGAAAUGAGAGGUUGCCAAGAUGCGGAGGAAUAACUCCGGCAAGACCCAUGUAAGGGAGAUUUAAGGCCGUGACUCUGUGGUGGCGAGCACCGCAGGUAACGCCAACCCAGUUGCAAAUGUUGGAAUUGGAGGCAGAGGACCAGUUGGCGGUCAAGAUGUUUUGAGGGUCACUAGUGAUGUGAGCCUUGAGAGCAAGAAGCGCAGAUUGAUCUGUGCUGAAAUUGGUAUGAGCUAUUGCUAAUGCUCCUGCAGUUAAGUAAUUAGCCACAAUCAUCAUAUAGAUAUAACACAAGCAUUGUAUCAUCGACAACAUCUUUGAUAGUAGGAAACGACUUCUCUCCUUAAUUGUAGUAGUUUUCGUCUUUCGGUAUAAAUUCGAUCGAAAACUAGAACUCAUUACAUUCACAUAAAUAGGGAAACAAGUUGGUGUUACCAAGACUUGUGAACGACUUUUGUACUGGUUUGAUACUGAGGUGCUUUUAUAAAAAAUGGGUAUAAAAAAAAAAGAUGAGCUCAAAAAGGUGUUUGGUAAACACUUAAAAACAGUUUAUUUUCACAGUUUUGGGUGAAAAAAAAUUAAAAGCGUGAAGCAGCAAAAAUAAGCUUAUUCUCACAGCACAACAUAAACAGUUUUUUUUUUCAAAGCACAGCAAUACCAAACCAGCCCUUAGACUUGCCCGGCUUCUAUGUCAAGGUGAGGAGACUUUAGAUUUUUUAACAUAUCAAACACACACCAUUCAUUUUUUGCUGAUGGCGUAGGUAGGUGAGGAGGAAUGGUGACUGCGAUGUAAGAGAGAUUCAAGGCCACGACUUGAAUGUGGCAUACCAACCCAGUUGCAACUUUCAAGUGAGCAAUCAAUGCUAAGGAUGUUUUGGUCUGUGGUGGUGAUAUUUGGUAAUUCGCUGAUAGGUUAGCUAGGUGAGGAGGUCUAGUCUAAGUCCGACUUUUUUGUCGAAGUGAGGACUUAGAAUAGUGGAACGAAGGCUUGUGAUUUGGUAAUUGGUGCUGCCAGCCGACGAGUUCUGUCCAUUUUGUGGGCAUAGCUGGAGAUGCCCAAAUGUGGAAUUUUAGUCUUCAGUUCACCAUCAAAACAAACAAUACCAUAAAUUUCAAGAUUGAUAUUUAAUGAUGACAUACAUUUUGAUUCAAAUGCAAAUGCAAAUGCGACCAAACACAUGACAGUUACAUUCUUCCGGAUGAAAUGUUUUCGACGACGUUUACAUAUAAUCAAGCUCUAGUUGAACACUCUUCGGAUUCGAAAAUCAUCUAAACUUGGCUAAUUAGUCAAGAAUUACGGUCUUAUGCUUCUAAAUUAUUAAUCACGAUCGCAUGUAUAAAUUCAUUGCAGCAAUAACGAAGAAGGGAAGUAACAACCAGAGAUUGAAAACUAGUUCAGAUACGUACAUUCACUAUCAUGCAGACUUGCCAUUGGAGACAGCUCUGAAUAUGCAAAGGUUUUUUAUAGGAAAAAUUAGUAUCCGGUCCCUAGUUCUUACUGUUCAUUGAUUAAGACCUUAUUAGUUCUCAAAUUUUGAUUCAAGUCCCUAGCAAUAAUGUGAUAAUGAAUUUACAUGUUUAUUAUAUAAUUUUUUAAUAUAAAAAUUAGUAAUUAAUUUAGGGUUUAAUACUCACACCUCUAUUAAACUUCUAAUUAAUUUUCAAUUCAAACAUUUCCAAAAUAAUAAAAAAUUAAAUUAAAUUAAGUUUGUACCUAUUACUUUAUAUAUAUAUAUAUAUAUAUAUAUAUAAAGAUUCUCAAUUUUUUAAUCUUAAAUGUACCCAUUCAUAUAAUUUUUCAAUUUUUUUAAUCUUAAAUGUACCCAUUCUCAAAUACAUCAAUUUGUUAUAUGUAAAAUGUACCCUUUUUUUUAAUAUAAAAUCCAUUCAAAUUUUUUAAUCCAUGUUUAAACUUAUAUGGGUACAUUCUUUUUCGUUGAUUUGAGAAUGUAUCCAUGUUUUGAUACAAUAACUUUUUUUGUUAAUUUUGGUUAAUGUACCCAUACAUAUAUGUACACACACAAUAUAAUAGAGGGUAUAAUUUAUAUUUUAUUAUUUUUAAUCCCAUAAAUUAUGGGUUUUAUUUAAAAUCUCAUUAAUAUAAACAAUUACAAAUUUCAAUUUUUAAUUUUUAAUUUAAAACAUAUAGUAACUUACAUUAUUAUAUUAAUGUCAGGACCUCAAUCAAAAACUAAAAACUAACAAGGUUUCAAUUAAAAAAUAUUGAUAGCUAGGGAACGCAUCCAAAGUGUCCAUUUUUUAUAUGACUUCAACAAGAGAGGACAUACCAUGCUUAGAGAUGAAGCAGGCCUGCACCUGCAAGCCACGGUGGUAAUCGAAUUCCAGUGAAAGGGAACAAAACUCCAGCCGCCACCGGCAUGCUGAGGAUAUUGUAGCCCAGGGCCCAGACAUAAUUCAAUCGAAUUUGAGACAUGGUCUUUCUAGAGAGAUCAAUGGCUGUAACUACAUCUUCCAAGUUGCUCUUCCUCAGAACUAUAAGCAGCUUCUAUAACUACGUCGGUGCCCGCACCAAUUGCCAUACCAACAUGUCCUGCAACCAUUGCCGGAGAGUCAUUAAUUCAAUCUCCCAUCAUUGCCACCACCAUUCCUUUCAUCUGCAUCCAAAUCCACUUUAACAAGUCAGAAAACACUAUGUAAGAUAGAUAACUCACAUAUCAAGUCAGAAACAAACUUAAUAUAGAAAAAUGAGUUUGAAGAUUGUUUGCAAGGUUUAGCAAGGUUUUAAAUGAAAUAGGAAUAGGGCCUUCUAAAUGAUUGUUUGCCAAGGAGAAAUCAAUCAUAUUCUGAAGACCCCCAAUGCCACCGGGAAUGCUUCCGGAGAAAUGGUUAUUUGAUAAAUCCAUAUCCACCACAUCCUUCAACUUUCCGAUGUCUUCUGAGAGUGGUCCAACCAGAGAAUUGGAUGACAAGUUUAGGUGCAAUAUAUACUUGAGUUCCCACAAGGAAGAUGGUAUUUUAGAAGUUAACAAAUUGGACCCUAACGGUAGAAAUCUUAGAGCUACUGCCGAAGUACCCAAGCAGGAAGGAAUAGAACCAGAGAGCCGAUUACCAUCCAAACGUAACUCGGCUAGGUUGUUUAGUUGACAGAGUUCAUACGGGAUAUGUCCUCCCAGUUCGUUAUCAUACAAAUACAAACCUUGGAGAUUUUUUAGCCUUUGUAUUGAAGUUGGAAUUGCUCCACUCAACUGAUUGUUUCCCAGGCUUAAUGAUAUCAAGCUGCUCAAGUUGCCAAUAUCAACUGGAAUGUUACCCCUGAUGUUCGAAUUUCUUAAAUUAACAUAUAGGAGUGACGUAGAGAGAUUCCCACGAGAAGCUGGAAUCAUGGUGUUUAGUGGAUUUCCUGCCAAGUAUAAUCUUGUCAAAUUUCUAAGAUUAAACAAGCAAGAGAGAGUGCUUGCUGCUUAUGGAGUAGAAGCAUGAAUUGUCAAAUUAUUCGAGUGCAGGUUUUUCAGGGAACAUAGCGUGGUAGGAAGAAUCCCGGUAAAUGAGUUUGUGUUCAUGUCUAGCUUCCAGAGCUUGGAAGCAUUGGAGAGGUUAGGGAGUAUUCCAGCCACGAGGUUACUUCUGGCUACAUAAAGGAUUUCUAGGUUUGGACCGUUAAGAGUCUUAACUUAAGACCGCUGUUUGCUGGGAGGCUACUUGAGAGCUGAUUGAAAGAACGCCCUAUUUCUCUUAUCAUGCAGAGAUUGAAGAGUUUGGAUGGGAUGACGCCACUGAGAUUAUUAAUAACAAGUCCCAAAAUCUCUAACUACGGAAGAUUACCAAUAUCAUCCGGUAUUGUAUCUGUUAUAAUUUCAGCACAUUUGCAUUAAAUUUUUAACUUCAAUUUAACUAAAAACUAAAAGCGAAAUGAUUAUCAAACAAUCCUAAAUUUACUACCUAUUAAAUUAUUGUCAUUAAGAUAAAUCUUGGUUAAGUAGGUCAAAUUGCCAAGACUUUUGGGUAUGCUUCCAAGGAAAUUGUUAGACCCUAAUAAGAUUUCACAAAGCUCUUUGCAUUGCCACAGUUUGGAGGGAAUAAGACCGUCAAACUGGUUUCGACCCAAAUUAAAUCGUCGAAUACUCAGAAGAUGCUCACAUAUAUUUUUCGGAAGACUGCCACUAAUAUUGUUUCCAUAUGGAGCCAAAGUAGUCAAAGAAGAUAUGUUGAGGACAGGCACAAUAGCAGAGCCUUUUAGGGCAUUGGACUGCGCAUACAACUCCUCCAGCUGAUCUAAACUACCCAUCUCGUUUGGAAAUUCUAUAAAUCAAUCAGUAUAUAUUGUUAAAAUCAUGUAAACAUAUAUAGGAGUUGCUUCUUAUUAGGAAUCCUGUUCUACCGUAGCAAAAGUGGGAUAAUAUUAUAAGGACCAUGUACAACUAUAUAGGUUCUCUUUUUGCUCCAGCAUACGAGGGUCUUACAUAGUAAAUAUACGAUCCCUAUGAUAGUCCUCUUAUUGUAUUUUUGCUAAAGUGGAACGAGAUUCCUGCUAAGAAGGGGCUCGUAUCUAAACUACUUACUACCUCAAUCAAAACUACAUGAAAUUACAAUUUUAACACCCAAACCAAAACUGCACAAAAAUAAAAAAAACUAUGGGUAAUUUAGUAAGGGCUGUGCUAUCCACACACCCCAUUUUACUUCUCACACACCCCUUGAUAAUUUAUGUAUGUUGAUAUUCUUCAAUUGAUUCGAUCCGACGGCCGAAAAUUAAAAAGGUUUGUGAGAAGUAAAAUGGGAUGUGUGCAUAUCACACCCCUUUAGUAAUUACAUGAACAUAACUUUUGUUGUUAUUUAGGGCAACCUCACAGCUAGGUCACCAUAGCAUGCCAUAUUUAAAAAUUAAAAAUAAAAUAAAAUAGUAAAUAAAAAACAUGCCUACUUUAGAAGAAACUGCUCAUCAUUUUCCCAAUUUUUAUAAGGGGUGUGCUAUCCACACAUUUUUUUACUUCUUACACAUUCCUUGUUAAUUUAUGUCCGUUGAUCUUCUUCAUUUUAUCCGAUACUACGGCUGAAGAUUAGAAGGGUGUGUGAAAAGUAAAAAGGGUGUGUGGAUAUCACACCCCUUUUUUUAUAAUUGAUUUAUUGUUUUAGAAUUUUAAAAACUAAUCACACUACUUAGUAAAAAAAACAAAAUGAAAUGAAAUUAUACAAAACCUAAGUCAUACAGUAUACCUUCGAACUUCUUGUCGUCAAGGUUUAUGCAAUUCACCAUUGUUAAGUUGCCUAUUUCUCUGGGUAUGCUACCUGUUAAAUAUGUGCAUGGAUUCCAACAAAAAAGAAGGCAAAAAAAACGAAGGAGAUGAUUGUUAUACAUCUUAUAUAUAGAUGUUAAAAUGUAAUCAUGAAGCAAGCAACAUUAAUUUAUAUUCCUAGCUGUUGGUAAUGGUGGUACGUACGUACCUGAUAGUUGGUUCGUGCUCAAACUAAUCAUUUCGAGUGCAGAUAAGUUGAAGAUAGCAGCGGGUAUGAAACCAGAGAAGCCAUUACCGUACAAUUUGAUGGUUUGAAGUUUAGGAAAGGACCCAAAUCACGAAGGAAUGGUUCCCAUAAAGCUGUUGUUUCCAAAGUUAAUUGCCUUCAACCGGCGCAAACGAGACAGUUCUUGCGGUAGGGAACCAUGAAAGCUAUUAUUCUUAAGGCCUAACUCAACGAGAAAUGAGUGGUUGCCUAGAUGCGGAGGAAUAACUCCGGCAAGACCCAUGUGCGAGAGAUUUAAGGCCGUUACUCUGUGGUGGCGAGCACCGCAGCUAACGCCAACCCAGUUGCAAAUGUCGGAAUUGAAGGCAAACGACCAGUUGGCGGUCAAGAUGUUUUGAGGGUCACUAGUGAUGUGAGCCUUGAGAGCAAGAAGCACAGACUGAUCUGUGCUGAAAUUGGUAUGAGAUAUUGCUAAUGCACCUGCAGUUAAGUAAUUAGCCAUAAUCAUCAUAUAGAUAUAACAUAAACAGUGUAUCAUCGACAACAUUUUUGAUGGUAGGAACCGACUUCUCUCCUUAAUUGUAGUAGUUUUCGUCUUUCGGUUUAAAUUCGAUCGAAAACUAGAGCUCAUUACAUUCACAUAAAUAGGGAAACGAGUUGGUGUUACCAAGACUUGUGAACGACAUAGACUUGCCCGGCGUCUAUGUCAAGGUGAGGAGACUUAGACUAGUCGAACGAAGACGAGUGGCAAGGAACACCUACCAUUCAUUUUUUGGAUUUUUUAACAUAUCAAACACACACCAUUCAUUUUUUACUGAUAGCUUGAAGGUGGCGUACGCCGUAAGCAACACCUACCAAUUGCAACUUGGAAGUGAGCAACGAGUGGUAAGGAUGUUUUGGUCUGUGGUGGUGAUAUUUGGUAAUUGGUGCUGCUAGCCGACGAGUUCUGUCCAUUUUGUGGUCACGGCUGGAGAUGCCCAAAUGUGGAAUUUUAGUCUUCAGUUCACCAUCAAAACAAACAACACCAUAAAUUUCAAGAUUGAUAUUUAAUGAUGACAUACAUUUUGAUUCAAAUGCAAAUGCAAAUGCGACCAAACACAUAACAGUUACAUUCUUCCGGAUGAAAUAUCUUUGCCGACAUUUACAUAUAAUCAAGCUCUAGUUGAACACUCUUCGGAUUCGAAAAUCAUCUAAACUUGGCUAAUCAGUUUUUUCUGAACAGAACAAACCAAAGAUGAUACGCAAACGGUCCAAGAAUUACGGUCUUAUGCUUCUAAAUUAUUAAUCAUGAUCGCAUGCAGACUUGCUAUUGGAGACGCUCUGAAUAUGCAAAGGCUUCUUAUAUGACUGCAACAAGAGAGAACAUACCACGCUUAGAGAUGAAGCAGGCAUGCACCUGCAAGCCAUGGUGGUAAUCGAAUUCCAGUGAAAGGGAACAAAACUCCAGCCGCCACCGGCAUGCUGAGGAUAUUGUAGCCCAGGGCGACAUAAUUCAAUCGAAUUCGAGACAUGGUCUUUCUAGAGAGAUCAAUGGCUGUAACUACAUCUUCCAAGUUGCUCUUCCUCAGAACUAUAAGCAGCUUAUAUAGCUAUGUCGGUGCCAGCACCAAUUGCCAUGCCAACAUCUCCUGCAACCAUAGCCGGAGGGUCAUUAAUUCCAUCUCCCAUCAUUGCCACCGCCAUUCCUUUCAUCUGCAUCCAAAUCGACUUUAACAAGUCAGAAAACACUAUGUUAGAUAACUCACAUAUCAAGUCAGAUACAAACUUAAUAUAGAAAAAUGUGUUUGAAGAUUUCUAUAAGACAUUAUUUUACCCUAGAUAAGUCAUUUGAAAUAUAAUUUAGUAAUCCUCAAUCUGCGUUCAAAACCAGAACAAAAUUACUUGUGGAGCUGGGUAAUUGUAAUCCACUCACACCACCCCUGUAACUAUUAUAUAAUCGUAACUGUAAUUCUUUGAUUCUAUCAGCUUUUCAUAGUGGAUCCGUCUCAGCACACCUUAUCAAUGCCAACCUCCAUCGCACUGGCUGCCGCUGUAGCCCAGUUAUCACCAGUAACCAUGAUGCUUGUAAUGUUUAUCGAGUGAAGAUAAGAGAUGACUCGUGCAGCCUCUGGCUUCACUGGGUCAGUUACAGCAAAAGACCCAGCAAUCUUUCCAUCAAUGGACACCAACACACACCUUCGAGCCAGAUUAUCAUGUUCUGAAACAUACUUGUCAACCUCAGGACCAACCUGGACAUUAUUUUCCCGCAUGAGCCUCAGCAAUCACCAUUUACCUACAUAUUUCUCAAAUAGAGGCAUGUUAGCAUGAUUGACAAAAUAAUAACAAUAAGUUGUCUCAUCUGUAACUUUACAAACUUCAAACUUUUCAUGAACAAAUUUGAAACAUAAGCACCAACCUCUGUGACAAUAGACACAGCACAGAACUCCUCCAUUGAGUAAUUGGAGAAGAGCACAGCAUUGACUACUACGGGUUUCCCAACUGUCUCUCUGGUUGAGGCUGCAUUCAUUUUGACACAUGGGAAGGGCUUACUCUCCUAGUGGCUCGGCUUGGUCUCGCUCCCUUCCCGCACUAUUCCUCCCCACUAAAAAGAUUUGAUAAUCUCAAUAACGUUCAGAAAGGUUAUUGAGAUAAAUCGAUGAAAUCUUUCAAGCCAGCAUGGGGCAAAAGCUAUCAAAACGGGUGAUUGGGGAAGGAGAGAUAGGUCCAUUCACGAACACUAUUGGUCCCUGUUUCAUAAAAAAACAACCGUUUUCACUGGCAGGGAUCAAACACGUCCGUAAACAUCCAGACACCAACAAGGUGUCAAAUACUAAGAAACGUAUCAACCUUCAUGAAUUAGGUACCGUCUGUUCAGCUUUUAAUUUUGGAAAGAACAAAAACCCCAAAAAGGACGAAACAAUUAUUAGCCUUGUUAUAAAAAAGGGAGUUGGGGUAAAGAGAACUCUCCUUCAAUGAGAGCUGUCAUCUACAAGAAAUGGGGAUAUAAAACUUGGCGAGUACGGCUUGGUGACAUGGACAAGGUGCAUACAGCCAUCAAUCGUCCAGAACCAAAGGGUCAUAUGAGACAGAUUCCAACUAUGAAAUAAUAGUUGCAUGUUCAAUCCCAAUAUAUGCAGGAAGAACAUCCUCCAUACCCAAUGACAUAGAUUGCAUUUAGUUUUAUGUCACGAGCCUAAACGUUGAUCGAACCAAGGCAGAGCGUUUAACUGGUCAGGAAUGAAGUCCAUAACUUGUUCUCAUACGGAACACUAACAUAAUGUAGGGUGGUAGUAUAGGGGAUAGUAUGAAAUGACCAGAACAAUAUGAGGAGAGCAACUUCAUAAUGGAGGAAUGACGAGAAAAAAAAAACUACACUUGCACCCUCAAGACAUAUAGAGAAUGUAUCUAAUCAGAAAUUGGUUUUUCCUAAACCACAACAAACAGGUUUUCGACGUCCUCAAAGGAAAUGUAGGAACAAGUAUAAUGAAGCAACUAAACACACCAGCAAAAACAACAUGAAAAUAAAAUGCAUGAAAACCAGAUUCUAAAUUAAAAAAGAAAUUUGUUUCCAAGGAUAAGGUGGUCUUACCUUAUAAGCCUUUUCAAGUACACUAGCAAAAAUGCCCGCACUCCGCUGCGGGGACUUCUAGAAGUAUGAUCUUGUACCAUUUGAUUUCUUUUGCCAUUCCUAGUUCUUUUUGGCAUCAUGUGCAAAACCAAAUUGAUAGAUAAAAAAAGGUCGUACCCAGUGCACAAGGCUCCCGCUUUACGCAGGGUCUGGGAGAGGUGAAUGUCGGCUAGCCUUACCCCCAUUUAUGGAGAGGGCUGCUCCCAAGUCUCGAACCCGAGACCUACCGCUCAUGGGCGAAGGCACUUGCCAUCACACCAAGUGCGACCUCUUUAUUAUAAUUAAGUAAAAAAAUGAUAGGUAGGAAGAAAAAAAUGAAAACACCUGCAUAAAUUCAAUUUUCCAUCACCCCUAUAUUAUAAUUAAAUAAAGCAAAACAUAAUAAUCAUCUCACAAUUACAGAAGCAAGGACUUUCAAAUGCCCCAAUUAGUUAACAGCCACUAUGCAUAAUUCUGAAAAAAUGAGUAUAAAAUUAACCUCUUUUGAAAAACGAAGGAAGAAAGAUGAAACCUUAAGCCAAGGAAUAUAACUAUGUUGAACUCAAUUAUUUGACAUUAAUUACACAAACCCAAUUCCAUAUAUAUAGCCAGACAGAAGCUUUAUCCUAGAGAGAAACCAUGCCCAAAUGAUUAUAAUUCAGAGCAUAAAAGGGAAGUGAGUUCCUUGGUUCCCACAUUGUAGAGACUAAAUCUCAAAACUUUGCCAAGCAUUACAGGAAACCAUGGAAAGAAUAAAAAUGACCACAAAGAUUGCAAAACAAUUAACCACAGGUGGUGUUUAUAUGCCCACUGAGAGAAAAGAGCUUGUGCAAGUGAAAAAACGUAUUUAUAUAAAACAGGCAUGCACCAUCUGAAAGAGCCUCUUGUAUCCAUUCCAAUUAUACUUAUGUCUACCAUAUCCCUCUACAAUUCCCCACCACCAAUCAACCAUAACUGAUUUCAAUACCCUUAGCUGCUUUAGUAGACCAUCUAGUGACACCAACUGCCACCAAAAUAAAAGACACGAUCAAGACCAUACAAAUUACAGACUAAGCUUAAAAACAACGGUUAUCUAUUAAGCAAAACUUGGAACUCCUUGACAUGGCAACCUCUUAAUCCAGGAUGUAGAGUAGAAAAGCAAAAUUAUUGACAAACCGAAAAAUAACAAUUUAACUUGCAUAGUAAACGAAUAUUAGUAAAGUUACAUAACUCAAUGGAUUACAUAAAUCUGUAAAAAAGCGAAACAUCAGUGUUUGGGAAGUUACCUUAUUUGAAAUGUCAGGAGCAUCUGGUGUACAUACAGGGUAGACAGUCCUUGCAAAAUUCAGGGCUUCAAAAUAAAAUAAAAUAAUAAAUUCAAAAGAAAUCAAAACUAUUAAUCCUAACAACUGUUUAGUAAAGGAUAAAACAAUCUUUCCAUCAAGCAAAUUUGAGAAACAAGUAAUGAAUGGAAUAACCCAAUUUCUAUCGCCAAUCACCCUUGCUGAGUGAUGAUUCACAUACUUCCUCAUAUUUGUUUAUGGGUUCCUGUCCAACAAAAUUUCGACUUAGUACCCAAAAACUGUAUCAGCUCACAAACACACAGAGGUUUAUCAAAUUCAAAGCAAAACCCACAUAUAUUCUCAAGAUUCUAGAGUUAAAAGAGGAGCAAGGAGGUUCGGUUAAGGAACCCAAAACGCUAUUUUAAUGAGCAAAUGAAUAUCUAAACUGGGGUUAACAAGUUUCAGCAAUAAAAAACAUGUCUUUCGAACGAAGUUGCAUAAAUUACAGAACUUUGGGAUUAAGGAGGAACAAAAAGCCCAAAUUCCAAUCAAGAAAAAAAAAAUGUAUGUAAAUUUAAGCUUUACCUGUAGAUUGGCAGCAGCAAAACAUACUGGAUCCAACGGGAGCCACGUGUGAGAACUGGAUGCCCAGCCUUUGACACGUUAUUGAGUGAGUUUAGGGAUCUGGGUUUUGUGUUUGCCGUUGAAUUUUGGAAUGAUCUGGAGAAAUUUGGGUUUUAGGGUUCUAAGGAUUUGAGUGAACUGAAAUUGAUUUGGAUGAGCAACUUUUAGUUUCGAUUCGCGGUGGAGCAAGGAUGAAGAGGUGGAGGAGGAAGGAAUGAAAGACUUAACUUCUAAAGUUUCAAGUGCUCAAGGAAGAAAAUAUCGGUAAUAUCGGAAAUAUCGGUAGUCUGAAAACAUGGAAAUAUCGAUGGAAAUAUCGGGAUAAUAUCGAUAUCGAUAAAAAUUACAUGGAAACCACGGAAAUUGUAAGAAAAACUUGGAAAUUUUUAUUGAAACUUUGCAGGAUGUUUAUUUAGUCAAUUAUCUAUUUGUUUAUCACAAAAAAUUGGAAGGAAAGGCAUUACAUGAUGGAUUUAACAUUAUCAAGUUGAUUAUAUAACGAGCUGACAAACAUUGUGAGUGUAGAAAAUAUGUAGAAAUUAAUGAAAGAAGUCUAAACACACCAUAAUCAUUUAUAUAUAAUGAAUUAGUACAAUAUUUUACACUUUAUACAUUGCAUGGUAAGAUACAUGAGUGACUUAGUACCACAUAGAGUUCCUAUGAGGUUCAAAAUUUUCACUAUCUUCAUCAUCUCUAUGUGUAGAGUGAGUGUAUUUUAAAGAGUAGUUAGCAACCAUGGCAAUGGUUUUCAAGAACCAAAACCCAAAAGUCAAUAGGAAACCGAAUACUUCGGUAUUUUUCGGGAUUACCAAACAAAUGGGAUUUGGAAACCAAUCCCAUAUCGAAAAUUUCGGUAUUUUUCGGGAUGGGAUUCCCGAACUUCAGGAUGGUUUUGGUUUGGGAUUUUUCGGUUUGGGUUUGGGACUUUUUCAAUUUGGUUUGGGAUUUUCCGGAAUUUUUUCCAGCCCUACCAUGUAAGUGACCAAAUAAAAAAUAGAAAAAUUAAAAACCACAUGCCAUUGACUAAGUAAUUAAUUGAUACAAUUUAAAAUAUAAUACCACAAAAAAUUUGGAAUAUGUGCAAAUUUGUUUCUUGUAAAAAGAAUUCAAAACAAAACCAUAUAUAUAAAUAUUGUAGCAUAUUAUCACAACAUCAUAAGUGGUAUAGUGGUUAAGGCGUUAAGGAGGUAAACUCGAGGAGUUCGAACCCUUCUAUGCUCAAAAUUGAGACUUUUCCAAAUUUUCAGGAAUUUUUUGACUAAUAUCGCGAUAUUUUGACGAAAACUCAUUGGAUACUCAUUAAAAUAUCGGUAACUCAAAAAAACGAAAAUAUCGGCGAAAUAUCGUCGAUAUUUUGGAUAUUUUCUUCCAUGCAAGUGCUCAACAAAUUUCGAUCAAUGUAUGUUUCAAUACUUCAAAAAAAGGGACAUGCAUCAAAGACUUUUAGGUGGAAAAAAAUAUGCAUUGGCUGAUGGAGAUAAUUAGGAUUUAAAAUGUUAAAAAUUUUCUUUUUGGCUCACUAAUUAGAUGCAAAAGUGAGACUGUGUGAACAAUUUUACACCCAGAAACAUGAACUACACAGAAUCACAACUGAUCGAACAAUGAGAAAGUAUAUAAGACAAUACACUAUCAAUAGGCUAAAACACUCUUUUAAUUGAUCUAACAAUAGGCUAAAACACUCUUUUAAUUGAUCUAACAAUAGGCUAAUAGGAUUAACUAAACCAUUAGAGACUGCAACAAUGAGAAAGUCUGAAGAUUAAAGUUCUAGUUGAAUAUCUUUGAACCCCUAGGUGUUGGAAACACUUUCAGUAAAUUUGUUCAGGAAAAUAUAGAAACUCAUGAUGCAAUUCCAUCGUCUGGGAUAGCACAUAUUUACCUGGAAUCCAACAUUAAGCUAACAUUUUUCAUAAGUUUAUUCUUUUUGUUAACUACACUGGAAUUUAUAAAACAAUUUUAGAAAAACUCGAGUCUAGAUAAUGAACUUUUGUUCCAGUUUAAAAAAUUUUGACUUGUGUUCUAAGCAACAUAAUGUAUUCACAUUUCAAUUGUGAAAGGCAGCAAUAAUCCCCGACUGAAGAUAUUAAAAAUCAGAACUUCUUCUCCAAGUUUUCAUUUAGUUUAUUUCACUUGUCCAUCGGAAUUUUAUGCAAAGAAGAUUAAAUAAAGACAAUAGCAUGCCAAAGAUUAAAACCCCUCAUUUCAAACUCUGCUAAUGCACAACUCUGUUUGGUUUUCUUCCCAGAGACCAGACUGAGUGAGGAGUCAAGUUCUCCAAUGCACCAACAAUCUCCCGUUCGAGCAGCCAUCACCACCUCACUUGCCACUCCGGCGAGGCACCACCUUGCCACCACCCUCAUGUCUCACUCCCUUUCUACCACUCUCCUUAUUUCCCUCACCUCUUUCUCUCGAUACUGUGCUCGCUGCACAGAAACAGCAAGGCAACCACCGUCGCCUUUUUUCACAGCGAACUACACCGUAACGAAACCAUCACCAUUAAUCUCGCUACCUAGGCGAGUUUUACCACCCUCUGCAAACUGCCUUCAUGCCUUCUAAUUUCAAUUCUUGCAUUUCUUGUAUGGUAUCCAUGUCUUGCACAUUCAAAUACUUAUAUACCGACUGAGAAUAACAAUAUAAAUCCCACACCCACCUCUUUUUCCCCACUUGAAAAAUCACCUAAAAACAACAUUAACCACCAUAGUUUAAGAAUCCAAACAUGGCUCCAAAUUUCAAUCUAAUUAAUUAAAUUACAGAGGAUUCUACCUACCUCAUGAAAACAAAUAUGUUCAGUUAAAGAAAUUCCCUAAUCAUUGCAGUGCAUCUUAAACUACUUCUUAACUAUGUCAGCCAUACCAAUCUAAUAAAAAAUCCAUGUUUCAAUCGAUUCUUAUUAAUUCCAACUCCAAGUAUUUCAGCAUCUAGAUUAUAGAAAAAUCAUAACAAAACAAAACUCAAUCUUGGUGCUAAAGCACACUUCGUUAACCUCACCUUCAUCAAGUCCAUGAUUCCUGCCAUGAGAUCUUUCUCUUAAUCCAGACUUGGCUUCAGAUGCAAGAUCAAAAUAACGAAGCAUUCAGUUCCAUUUCUACGCACAGCAAAUUAAAAAUUGAAAUAUGUUAUAAUUUACUCGGAAUCUUCAUAAGUAUCAUGAAAGCAUAUAAACAGAUACAUUUGAAAACUGAUAAAGCUACCUAAUUAAGUUGAAAAGUCGCUAAUUAAGAUCAAGUGCCAGUGCAUCCAGUGAGCCUUCCAAGGAAAGAUGGCCCCAUGGACUUAGACCUUGAAAACUAAGGCUUGUUUUGCCUUGUAAUUGUAUGAUCAGUAGCAUUCUUAUGGAUUGUAAUUGUAUGAUCAGUAGUAUCUGAAAGAUAUGAUUUCUGAAACUCAACUCAAUGAUUUGAGUGAGCCAAUUAGUAUUGAUAUAUAUAGCAUUACAAAGUAGACAUGUAGUAGAAUAUAGAAAGUUCAAUUACAAGCAGUAUCGGAAACAAAUUACUAAUCAAACUAGAACUCGGCUGCUGCUCAAGUAUCUGUAUAGGAAUGAACAUCUUGAGCGGAGAAUGAUGGAACAUCCUUGUUCUUGUGGGAGACUGGUUUAUCACUCCCCCGCAAACUGACAGGGAGGCCACGAACUGGUAGUUUGGAGAGCAUAAAAGUAAAGCGGGCAGCAGAGAGACCUUUAGUAAGAAGAUCAGCCAGCUGGUCAACAGAGGAGACAUAACCAAUAGUGAGUUCAUUGCGAGUGACCUUUUCCCGAACAUAAUGAUAGUCCACCUCCACAUGUCGCAUGCGUUGUUGAUAGACGGGAUUAGAGGCUACAGAAAUGGCACUGAUGUUGUCGCACCAGAUGCGGGGAGGAGCAAGCGGGAGAUGAAGCUCUCGAAAUAAGGUGCGAUACCAAGAGAGCGCCGUAGCAGUGAACGCAAGCUGGUGGUAUUCAGCUUCGGUGCUGGAGCGAGAGACACCUCGUUGUUUCUUGGAGCUCCAGGAAAUAAGGUUAUCACCAAGGAAAAUACAAUAGCCACCAGUAGAACGACGGUCGUCAGGAUCGCCGGCAUAGUCCGCAUCAACAUAGGCAGUGAGGUGAAGGGGACUCGGUUUGUAAACAAUGCCAUGAUUCGGAGUCGCUUUAAGGUAACGGAGGAUGCGUUUAACAGCAACCUAAUGGAUUGUGGUUGGCCGAUGCAUGAACUGGCAAACCUGAUUUACAGCAAAGGCGAUAUCAGGACGAGUGAAAAGAAGAUAUUGCAAGGCCUCUACAACACUUCGGAAUUCUGUAAGAUCAGACAAUAGUUCUCCAUCUGAUAAGAUGAGGCGUCGACCAGGAAUAGUGGGGGCCGAAAUAGGCUUGCAGUCCAGCAUAUUAGUACGUUUAAGAAGAUCAGUGAUAUAUUUUGCUUGAGUAAGAUGAAGGCCGGCAGCAGUAUGAUGAACUUCCAUUCCUAAUAAGUAAUGAAGGGGGCCAAGAUCCUUCAUGGAAAAAAGAACGCCCAGCUGUUGAAUUAAGCGAGCAAUAUGAUCCGUGCUAUUACCAGUAAUAAGGAUGUCAUCCACGUAUAUUAACAAGUAAAGGAUGACAGAGCCAUCAAAGAAAGUAAACAAUGAAGAGUCGACAUGAGAAGAAACAAACCCCAAAUGUUCCAAGUGUUGGGAAAAGCAUUGGAACCAUGCACGAGGAGCUUGUUUAAGGCCAUAUAGAGACCGUUGUAAUUUGCACACAUGAAUGGGACGUUGAGAAUCAACAAAUCCUGGAGGUUGGCGCAUAUAGACAUCUUCAUUUAGAGAACCAUGAAGGAAAGCGUUUUGGAUAUCGAGUUGCUGAAACGGCCAAUUGUAGUGAAUAACAAUGGAGAGAAUCAGCCGAAUGGUGGCAUGAUUGACGACGGGGCUGAACGUCUCACCAUAGUCCAAACCUUCUUGUUGAUGAAACCCAUUGACGACUAACCGUGCUUUGUAUCGUUCGAUGGAACCAUCAGAGCGCCGCUUGAUUUUGUAGACCCAUUUGUUGGGGAGAACGUUCAUAGUGUGGUGGAAUGGGACUAAGGUCCAGGUACCAUUGCGUUGUAAUGCAGUAAACUCGUCAGCCAUGGCUUUGCGCCAUUCAGUGUGUUUGUGUGCCUGACUAAAACAGGUAGGCUCAACCAAAUCAUCAGAAAAAGUAGUAACAAAAACAUAUUUGGGAUUAGGUUUUCGAACACCAACUUUGCUGCGAGUAACCAUGGAGUGAGACCGAUCACUUACCUCGGGAGUAGAUGAAACGGAUGCAGCGGGGGCAACAGGUGGUAGGUUUGCUCCAGGGGCUGACGGAUGGGUAGGAGUUAUGGGGAAAGCAGGUUGGGGGGAAGAAGCUGUGGGGGAUAAAGGAGAGGCAGAUGUGUCCGGCGGGAAACGGGUAGGGCGAGAGGGCCUACGAGUAUAAACUUGAAGGGGGCGUUGGGUAGGGUGUGAUGGUAGGGUUGAGGGAAUGGAAGAGGAAGGCUGCGGGAUGGAGGGUGUGGGGGCACCAUGAGAUGGUGAUGGUCCGAUGGUGAGUACUGGAUCCACAGACGAGGAAAGCAAUGAAGGCGAUGGAACAAUGGACUCUUUAUAUGGAAAGGUGUGCUCAUCAAACACGACAUGGCGAGACAGAAAUACACGACCUGUGGAGGGAUCUAAGCAGCGAUAACCAAGAUGGUUUAGAGAAUAACCCAAGAAAACACAGCGUUUGGAACGAAAUUGCAGUUUGUUAGUAUUAUAUGGACGUAAAUACGGAAAACAGGCACACCCAAAAACUUUAAAAAACUUAUAUUGAGGAGGUUUGUGAAACAGUUUUUCAAACGGGGAGAUAUUGUGUAAAAGGCGAGUGGGUAAACGGUUAAUAAUGUAAUUGGAAGUAUGAAAGGAUUCGGUCCAAAAGGGAGUAGACAGACCGGAUUGAGCUAAAAGAGUAAGGCCAGUUUGAACGAUGUGGCGGUGUUUACGUUCCGCCACACCAUUUUGUUCCGGAUGAUGAGGGUAGGUAAGACGAUGUAAGAUGCCAUGGUGAUUUAAGAAUGUUCGAAAACUAUGAUUAACAAAUUCACCUCCACCAUCCGUUUGGAAAGCUUUAAUCUUAACACUGAACAUGUUUUCAACGAGGUUUUUAAAAGUGACGAAAGUAGAGAAAACAUCAGAUUUUAAUCGGAGUGGAUACAACCAAGUAUAACGAGAAUAAUCGUCCACAAAAAUCACAUAAUACUUAUAACCAGAAAUGGAGAGAGAGGGAGACAUCCAAACAUCACAGUGAAUUAAUUCUAAAGGUGAAGCAGCCAUGGAGGAAGAUAAAGAAAAUGGCAAUUUAUGACUUUUACCUAAAGGACAAAAUUGACAAAACUUACUAGAAAUUGAGCCUUUAAUUGGCAAUUUAUUUGCAGACACUAAAUGUUGUAAAAUGGAAAACGAAACAUGACCUAACCUAGAAUGCCACAAGGCAUCCGAGACACGUUCACCAACACAAGCAAAAACACCAGAAGGUUGAUGAGAGGAAUGGGAAGGAUAGAGUCCAUUGUUACUAGGGCCUUGGAAAAGGAUCUUCCCCGUCCGCGAAUCCUGCACACGAUAAAAACGAGGGUGGAUAGUAAAGAAACAGUCAUUAUCAGCAGCAAAACGAUUUAAAGAUAUGAUAUUAGUGGAAGCAUGAGGGCAGUAGAGAGUAUUCAGUAAUAAAAAAAAAGCGAGUUUAGUGUGAAGAAACGAAUCACCAAUUUUGGAGAUGUGCAAACCUGAACCACCAUGAAUAACACCAAUCUGAUCAGUUCCAUGAUACUCACGAGGAUUAGAAAGCUGACCCACAUCAUUGGUUAUGUGGGAAUUGGCGCCAGAGUCAAAGAGCCAUGGUUGAGCAGGCGAGGCAGAAGGAGCAUGAGGGACACCACGGGACUGAGGUGCAGCCGCAUAAGCCUGAAGAUGAGACGAAGGAACCCUGCCUUCAUAGGACAUGUUGAGACGAUUGUAACAAUCAAUAGCGGAGUGACCAUAACGCUGACAAAUCUGGCACUGAAUACGACCAGAUGGGGAGAACGCAGGGGCAGGAGAGAAGCCACCUGAAGCAGGAGCAGGGCUGAGGAUGCCAUUGGAGGAAGCAGGCUGUCCACGGGAGGAAGCGGCUGGCGAAGAAGAAUGGGAAAAAUCACCAUGAUAGUUGCGAGAGGAACCAGAACCACGAGCGUAGCCGCCACCACAACCACCCCGAAACGCGCCGCCACGGCCGUGAGACGUACCACGGCCACCACGCACAGCAGCAAACGCAGAAGUACCGACGUCAGAGGGAAGAAAGAAAGCAGUGUGACGUUGUUCGGCGCUAAGAAGUAAAGAUUCCAAGGCAGUGUAAGUGAUGGGAGUAUCACGGGCUUGGGCAGAAGCAACGGUGGUCUCAAACUGUGGUCUCAAACUGAGGACCAACCUUACUCAUAAUAAUGGCAACCAAGUCUGAUUUAGAAACUGGGGCGCCAGAGAUGGCAAAGUUGUCGGCAAGAAUAUUCACCUUGUCGAGAUAGUCGGCAAUAGAGAGAUCACCACGAGAGGUAUUCAUCAAUUCUGUUCGCAUUUGAAUAAUACGGUUCUGAGAGGUAGAGGCAUAGCGUUCCUGAAGAGACAACCAAGCAGAGGCCGAAUCAAUUUUGUUGACAAUAGUAGCAAGGACCUUGGGAGUAAGAGAACUAGUAAUCCAAGAGAGGAUCAUCUGAUCAGUUUGGAUCCAGUCAAGAUACGACGGAUUGACGGUGUCGGUAAUGGUACCCUUGUCAUCAGAAAGAAAAGCAGAAGGGCAUUUAUGUUCACCAGUAACAAAGGAGAGAAGGUUGCGGCUGCGCAGCAAGGGAAGAAACUGAGCACGCCAUAGGGGAUAGUUGUUGCGAUCGAGUUUUAUGGUAAGAAAAUUCGUAACUGAGGGAGCAGCAGCAGUAAAGGUAGAAGAAGAGGACGCCAUACUGGGAAGAGAACGGAGAGAGAAAAAAAUAAAAAAAAUAAAAAUUAAACGAUGAACCGUUGUCGUAAGACGCUGGCUCGUGAUACCAUGAAAGAUAUGAUUUCUGAAACUCAACUCAAUGAUUUGAGUGAGCCAAUUAGUAUUGAUAUAUAUAGCAUUACAAAGUAGACAUGUAGUAGAAUACAGAAAGUUCAAUUACAAGCAGUAUCGGAAACAAACUACUAAUCAAACUAGAACUCGGCUGCUGCUCAAGUAUCUGUAUAGGAAUGAACAUCCUGAGCGGAGAAGGAUGGAACAUCCUUGUUCUUGUGGGAGACUGGUUUAUCAGUAUCCUUAUGGAUUCCCAGAUGAAUCCUCAAAAUUUUGUUCUCAUCCGUUAGCUUAUGCACAUAGGACAAAAGCGGUUCAAUUGUUUCACACUUCUCAUUGUUUCUCCUUAUCAACUCAGCUCAUUGCUGCAUAUUUCGUCCAUGAGUUCCAAGAUCUUUUCAUGCAACAUUUUAUCUUUUUCAACCAUAUUACCAUCAGAUUCUACCCCAUGAUCAAUACUCUCUUUUUCCAUAUAUUCUUCAAAAGUACACAAACCAACCUUUUUUAGGAUAGACCAGCAUUUGUUUGUUUUGAUGGCACUGAAUUUUGUUUCCGUUUUCUCUUUUGUGGUAGUCUGAUAAAGAUGCACUCCAAAAAAUAAUUUGAGUGCCUAUACAGAUGAACAUCGCAUAAAAAUCAAAAAAUCAAAAAUCAAAAACAGCAGCAGAGAUAAAAAAAAAUGACAAUAAUUCUAAAAAAAUUUAAAUAAAAAACAGGAACCUCUGUGAGUUAAUUUUUUGGGCAAAAAAAAUUCUAUUAAUGCAUUCUCAUACAAAAAAUUUCUUUAAAUACUGAUUUCAUGCAAUCUAGGAGCUAAGUGCUUAAAUCAGAAAAUUUUCUUUAACCCAGAUACUCUUGUACUGCAGUGCAGCAAAGUUUUUCUUGAACCCUGACGAAUAUUGCUCUAAAAAUAUCCCAAAUAUAUCUCAGAGAUUGCAGAGAUUCAGACAAUCAAUAAUGGGACAACCGGAAUGUUCCUUGUUCGUUUGUCCUCCAUACUCUACCCUAAUCUUCUUAGGAUUUUAGUUAAACAACUUGCUCCUGUAACAGCUAUAUUAAAGCAUAAAUAUUCAUGAACACUCAUCACCAAUAGCAAAAAGGCACAAAGUAUUUUUACAGAAAUCUAAAGAUCCCUUUUGUGUCCCAAACCCAGGUCUGUCCACUAUUUGCCUUCCUCCUUCAGGGCAUAAUUAGAGAUACCCGCCAACAGUAUAACCAAAAAAAUUGCAGUGAGAUUUUAAAAUACGAACUUUAUUUGAUAUUGCAAUGAAAUAUAACAAAAUGUACAAAAAUUGUUAUUUUGGUAAACAAAUAGACAGUGGAAUAACAGAAGAAGCCGAACCCAGAAAAAAUAAAAACACAGAAUCACAGUAGAAGAAGCAAACCCAAGAAAAUACAGAAAAUAAAACAAAAAGGGUGCAACUUUUAUUGACGGGUGAAUGAGUAGACAAUAAAAAAAAUGCAAACUUUGAGUUCAAAACAAACCUUGUACCGUUUGAAAUUUGAGACUUGGAGUCGCCCACGGGAAGGGUUUUAUGAGAAGACAGUAUUAGGCGUGCUGAAGUUAGUUUAUGCUUUUAGUUGUAAAUUCACAUCUAAUACUGGUUGAACACAAAUUUCAGCAAAUACACAGAAGAAAUAGCAAGAAUUGAUUUCAGAAUUGGGAAAAAAUUAAAUUAAAAAUAGAAAACAAAGGGUCGAAAAGCUGCAUACCUAAACACCAUUUCAUAUCUUUUUAUCCUCUUCGAGUACCGAUCGAUUCCAUAGAGAGGGAGAGAGGAGGGAGACGACGAAGGGGAGAGGAGGGAGAGGAAGGCGAGAGGAGGAGAACGACUGAGGCGAUUUACUGUCUGUGUGGUUCUCGCGGGGACUGCGAGGUGAACUAGGAGAGGAAUGACCAGGUGGCUCUGGGCUUGAGGUCAGAGAGAAAAUGAGAGACCUAAACGGCUAGGGUUGGAAAUGAGAAUCUGGGCUCAGGGGCACAGAAGAUUUGGAAAUGAUUUUUACCUUUCAAUUUGGAAAUGAUUUUUGCUGACCACUGCUAUGUUCUGUGAUUUCUUCGAUCACAAGAAAUCAAGUUGGUCUCAAAUUGUAACCGUUUGGGUUCAAUUUGCGAUUUACAGCUUUUAAGUAGUAUUUUAUUUUACUAGUUUCUCUGUUAAUGCCAAGUGGCAAGUGACACAUGCGUAGUAUUUUAUUUUACUAGUUUCUCUGAGUAUGAACCUGUAAACUUGGUUAUAGGAUUAGAGAUUGAAUACGAAGUCUUGUUGAGAAUGGAUUUAUGAAUCCAUAUUGUAACUGAACUACUAUUUAAAAGAAAUUGGUUUUCUGUAUGGAUUUUAAUAGAGAAUUUCUUAUAGAAUUUGGCUAGGAUUAUGUAGUAUAUAUAUGAUGGCCUCUGUUCUCACAGUGUGUGUACUCUACUCAGAACUAAUACCUAUUAUUAGUUGAGAACCUUGAACACUGAAGAGAAGAGAAGGUGCACUGCAGGAUUCUUGUAGAAAAUCGAGCAUGGCGUCCAGUUCCGGUUCAUCUGCAGGUACGGUUUUCUCCGUACAUUGGUUUAAUGAACAAUGAUUUGUGUUUUGAUAACAGUAGCUCAUAUAACUUGUUAUUGGUUUAUGUUUAUUCUAACAUUCAAGUCAUUGACCCUUGAAGAAGGGGCUAGCAAAUCAGCUUAUGCCAUCUGGGAGUCAUCAAUUGGAACGUACAUUCGUGAUAUCUAAACAAUAAAACAUUUGACCAAUAAAAGAAAGAUCCAAACAAAGACUUGUCCAGCACUCAAAAUUUCCCACUAUAUAAAACCCAUUGAGCUCUUCCAUUUCCUCACACUUCCGAUCACAAAAACUUCACUAUAUUAAAUUGAGAAGAAAAAAAUGAGCCAAACAGCAGGUAGGCUAAUGAAGCCUGGUUUAGCGUUUGUGUUUGGGACCAUGUUUGGAGCUUUCAUCACCAGAGCUAGUCUGCACCGUUGCCACCACCGCUUUCACGACCACGAAGGUGAUCGGAAGCAUUGGCCUUGUCCUCGCCAAGCUCAGGAUAAAAAGAUUGGUUCAAGCCCAGGAGGGCUGGAAACUACAACCACUAGAAACAUGGAAAACUAGCCCCAUGCUUGCGACAACGACUUAUAUAACAUAGUUACACCAUUACGAUGGUUCUAUUCUAAUGAAAUAAAGACAUGGGUAAACUUUUGUCUACAUAUCCUUAUUUCAUUGACAUAAAAUACUAUGUAGUAGUGUAGCUGUGCCAUCUAAGUUGUUUUCCAUGCAUGCAUCGUGCAUGGUCCAAGUUCAAAAAUCAGCCCAGCUGGCUAGCUUUGCUUCUAAUUUUAUAUGCUUCUGUUGUAUUACAUGAGUAGUAUGUAUUUGGGUUUUUAUCAGAAAUCAGCCCAGCUAGGUAGUUUGAUUUGUUGGCCGAUUGUUUCGGUUCUUUUUUGGCUUUUCUUAUUGUUUAGCGUGCAAAUUGGUUUGUUAAUGAAACUUAGUGAGGAAAUGAAGUCAUCAUGGUUUGUAAUUUUCAAAUGAUGAUUUUUUUUUUUUUAUAAUUUUUCUAGCAAAUACUGUGAGAAUUUUGGUUAUCCUAAAUCACAUUUAGCACUCUAAACACACAACUUAUUGUCGGCUGAAAUUAUAAUUAAGGUAUUUUAAAGAAUUGACUGGUAUUAGCACUUGCUUAUGUGCCAAAGAGCAAAUUAAGAGCGUUUAUCCCUACAUUUGAGACUAACUUGACAAAGAUUUGGGUCACUAAAGAUGCCUCCUCCCAUCAUGAAAAGUGAAAACCAAUAUAUUCGAGGUAAUGCUAGGGAAACUAAAUUUGUAGACAAAAUUUACAAACUAAAUGAUGUGUCGUCAACGUCCAACUUUAAUAUAUAAAGGAAAUUUGCCCAAAAACAGUGCCAAAUUAAUCAAGACUAAAUUUUUACAUUACAGUUUAAGAGACCCUAAAACGUUUCCGAAAACUGCAAAGCACCACAGGAUUAUGCCAGCAUCCAACUAAUUAAUCGACGGUUCAGCUUCUCUAUGUUUAGUUGAUGAAGUAGCCAACCAAGAUGCCCAGAAGACCGAACAGCACCACAAACAACAACGAAAAUCCGCCACCGCCGUUUUUGCUAAUUUCUUUUCUCAACACAUCCUGCUCAAAUUCAAAAUUUUCUCUUAUUGCCAAAAGGAAAUAAACGAAAACAAACAUGAAAAUGAACUCCGAUAAAGGGGAACUGAAGCAUCAAACACCCAACAAUACAAAUAGAAACAACAGUUCAUAAAAAGGAGAUUGACAGCUGAUGAAGUUAAACGGGGAUACAUACUAGUAGAACCGUUAGCAUAGGGACAAUCAAAAGCAUGAGGCUUGGAUAUACGUAAGAAACUAAGAAUUAAACAAAAGCUGAGCUGAUCUUCCUCCGUCAAUCAAGUCAGUGGAAUGCUCACAAAAUCCUUCACUCAAUCGAGUCAGUGACAACCUCCCUCAAUUUCCUCCCUCACCCUCUGCAACACUGGCACAUCCCUCACCUAUUCGCUCAAUCCCAUCGAACCCACACAACCCCAAACUCUCCCAAAAUAGAGAAUGACCAAAAUACCCAUGUCAAUAGGCAUUUCACGUUCAGGGCUUUAACCAUUUAUUGGACACCACCGAAGCCCACUUCGGACCCAAAUUCUAAUCAAUGGCAGAGAUGUAAAUAUUACGAAAUCAAAGGAAAUUCAUUGUAGCUUAGGAACAUACCCAUGUCGUACUACUUUAGAUUCGGAUGGUCUGUCUAUUCACACCGGUGGGUGGUGGUAGUGCCUAGUGGUGGCUUGCCGCCGUCUAUAAUGUCUAUAAUUCUAUCAGUCAAUUGGUUUCUUCUAUAAAAUGUGUGGCCUUAUGCUUUGUUUAUUGGAUAUUUAUAAUAUUAUACAAUUCCAAUUACUUUAGUCGGAAGAAGGAAAUCCAAUUGCACUGUUCAACUGAACAGUGUUUUGGACCGAAUUUCACUUUGUUUACAAAAAUUUCCACCACCCCUAUAUGUCGUUCAGAUAGAAAAUUUCAAUUUAUUUACGAAAUUGCCACCGUUUUACACAGGGGAAGGGCGCCCACGAGUCAAUCAUCUUGGAUUCUGCGUCGACUACUUUUCCGUUUCCAUCCCCUAUUAUUUCCCUUUCUCGACUCUGUUUCCGUAACCAUCCAUCAAAUACCCCGUCCCUCCUCCCUUAGAUCCCUCACCGAUUCUGUCUCUCGCCAUUCUCAGUCUCGCCAACCGCGAACCCCUUGACAGCUUGCAGCUCUAUGCUCCACCUCCAGAUUCGUCGCAUAUACCAGCCGAGACUGUCGUCAUCGUCACCCUAUGAACAAUUCCAUGCUCAGAAAUCAGAGAUGAGAGCCCCAAGACAGUCGCCUGCACCACCGUCUUAGAAAAGUGAGCCAAAAUCUCGCGAGAUUCAAGCCGCGCACGAGCGAAUCCGAAGGACAAACCUCCGAUAAAAAUUUCUCAUCCUCUCUCUUCAAUUUCAUAUUUGUUGUUAGAUUAAAAGGGAAAAAUAUGAGAACUAACUCGAGCAAAUGUUCUGGAUGUAAGCUAAAAGAUCAAUUUAGCUUUUCUUCCCUGUCAAUUUAGUGCUUUUUCUUUUCUUAUUACCUUUAGGAGUUAAUUUUUUGAGAUAUAAUAUGACUAACAAAUUUACUGUUGCCUCUGUCAUCUUUUUUGCUGAAGAUUUCUUUUUUAAAAAUUGUAUGCCAUGACAAAAUAAGGGUUGUAUUCAAUUGAAAAUUUGAGAGAUUUUAAUGAAUUUAUAAAUCCAUGAAUUUUUAUGGAGUUUAAUUGAUAUGUAGAGAUUUCAUAUAAAAUUUUGAUUCAAUUCUCUCAAAAUCUCAUGGGGAGAGGUGAGAUUUGUAGAUGCUUAAAAUACACUACGAAAUAUCUCAAAUUCCCUCUAAUUCCUCAACUUUCUCAAAUUCUUUAAAAUCAAUUUCUAAUUGAAUACACCUAGAAUGUUAUAAACUUUUUUAAAAUCCUAAUUGAAUACACCGGAUUUCUAAGGAUUUUAAUAAACUAUCUUAAAAUUAUAAUUGAAUACAUAUUGAAUUUCAGAGAAUCACUUAAAAAUCCUAAUUGAAUACCCCUAGAUUCAUAUAAAGAAUUAAAAUCCCUCAAAAUCCCAAUUGAAUACACCCCUAAAUUUACAAAUUGCUAAUUUUCUGUUUUGUAUAAAAUCUUUGUUCACUCUACCUGAACAGGUACACUUGACUGAUAAGGAAAGUCUUCAUAUUAAAUCCAUGUUAGCCUCUAUCGUGUUCUUUGUAUUUCGUUAUCUGAACUCUGUUAUUUGAAUUUGGUCACCUGAAUUGUGCCUAAUAUUUGAUGUGGCUAGUAGCCUUGUAUGGUUGGCUGGUGUGAUUUGGGAGUGCUUUUGGUCAAUGGGAGACAGGGGACACAGGUGUGGAGCAGCAAAGUCAAGUGGGAUUAGGAAUUUAGGAUGGUAGAAUUUUUGCUAAUUUAUGGGAUUAGAAGUCUUCCUUUAUUUUUGUCUUGGUGUGAUCAAUUGUAACAAAGAAUUUUCAUUAAAUUGAGGUAGUGAACCUACUAAUUUUCAUAUGUUGUUUGUCUACAGUCUUCUCCAUUCUCUUGGACCAAGCAUGAAAUCCCAAGCACUAUAUCACCACAAAGCAAGCAAGCUGAAAGCAAUCCAAAGAAACCCUUUUUCCAGAAGCACUUAACAAAACCUUUCUAUGGAUGAAUUGUUGUUUCAAUUAUACCAGAUUGAAAACAAGUAUGGAACCAUUGAUCAAGCAUACGGGGCUGUCGCCCAAACCUAUAUUAAGUGGGCAACAAGCAUGGUUGUGUCCUUAGAUACAGGUGUGCCCUGUUAAAUGUAAUCUUGUCUUGGCCCAAAAUAAUGGAUCCAGCCCAUGCACAAAGAAAGAUUCAUGCACAUGCUAGAGAAUUUUAGUAAAGUUCAAGUUGGUGGAAGAGUCUAGAAGAAUGAUGAAGAUUCCACCAACAUACAAGAUUAGUGUAGAUAAUACUAGCAUAGAAAGGUAGUGGAAUUAUCUAGAUAUAUCUAGCAUGAUGUUUCCAUGCUUCUCCAAGGUUCCAUCCAUGCCUAUAAAAGGAGGAGGCAUCCACACCAUUUGGAACAACCAAGAGAGCAAGUAGUGAGAAGUGAGAAGAAGCAACAAAGCUUCUAAGAGUGUUUGAGUGUUUCCUCUUGUACUAAGUUUGUUAGUGAAUAAAAAUCUUGUGUAAUACAUUGAGUGUACUUUCUUUCUCUUGCUUAUCAGUUCCGCUGCAUUACAUUAUUCUUUGUGAGAUAAACGUUUCCAAAGUAGUGAAGUCUUUUUAAGCCCCAAUAUGCCCUAGGUCAUGUGCCAACAAGACGAUGCUCCUGCAUCCGCGGUGAGGCUUUUGUAGUAUGUUUUCAUUUGUAUUGUAUUGUAUUGACUUUGACCUUUUUGAUCAACGUCCAAUAGCAGUAGGUGCAGUAAUUCUCAAACCCUAAUUUUAACUGUUUGGAUCAUUGCAGAUUUGGGUUAUUUAUUUAUUUAUUUUAAUUGCGUUGCUUCUACUUGCUGUAUAUUGGCUGAUGGAUUUCAGAGUAUUUUUUGUUUUGUGACUGGAUUUCGUUGUGUCGGAUUAGUUUGGUUUGCUAUGAUCGGUGAACCUUAUGUUAUUUUUUAUGGGUUUGGUUAACAUGGUUUUCAUUCCUUUUCAGAUUUGUUUCGACACACACUUCUCAAAAUUUGCGGGAUGCUAUGAUGAUAUUUUCUAUGAUGUAAACAAAUUAACUAUUUAAUGUCAAUAGUUUGUGUUAUAUAAAGCUACGCAUGUUAGGAGUAAAGUAAUUUAUUAUUUGUUCUUAGCCCCUGGUUUAUAAAUCCCAACUUUAAAAUUCCCAGUGGAUGUGUCUGUUAAUCGAUUGCGUUUGGGAUAGAAAUUUGUGUGUUUUAUUUAUUUAUUUAUUCGGGUUUUUGUAGCUGAUGCUGAUACAUAUUAGGUUUUGUGUUACUGGGUUUUAUCACUAAUUAAUUGUCAAUUGGAUUUUCCGGUUUCAAAAAUAGGUGAGGCGUCGACUAAUCAGCUGGCUGAUCAGCAGAUGCCAGUGUAUAAUCUUGCAUCGAAGAUUCUUUGUUGGGUUAUCAAUGUAUUAUUGAAGGUUGUGGUGGCUGAUCUGAUAAAGAAAACUAAGAAUUUUAGAUUUAAUUGUUUAGCUGCUUCUUUUCUACUCAAGUUAUUGGGCUUUGCAAGGGAAUAAUAUGUUUCUUUCUGCUGAAUUAUAGGCUGAACCAGACACUGAAGAAUUAUUUGCACAACUCACUUUACUUCCCAAAUCAAAUGUAAGUUGUUAGCUUGAGAAUUCUGAUUUAUUGUGGGCGGGUAAAAUUGAUUAUGGGUUGAGAUUCUGUUGGUUUGAUGUUCUUAUAAAUUUGAGCAAGAUGAGAAUGCAGUGGAGAAGGAAAUAACAUAGGCACGCGUCCUUAAAUGUGAAAAGACUUUGGUUAGGCAAAGCCAAAUUAAGGAAGAGAAGAAUAGGUAGAGGCUAAAACCUAAUCAAGUGGAAAUUUUAGGUAUAAAAUGUGCAGUGAGUCAAGAAAUUAUACAAUGGUGUCCAGCUGCUUUCCACCACGGCCACGUUAAACGGCUUAGUUCUUUUUCCAAGUGCAAGAAAUAAAUGGCACUUGAAUCAUAGAAAUAUUAACAUCUAUAUACUCAAAUGAAAAAAACUGCAUAUUUGAAAGGAAAAAACACACCAGCACACACUUGGAAAUAGCUGGAGAUAUUGGCAAACCUCACAAUGUAUAUGCAUGCUUUAGCGAUAUUUAUAAUGAGGAUAUUUAUAUUGGCAAACCUCACUUAUGCUCUGUACACAUUCUACUGUUUAAGUAAUGAACAAAACUAUUCUCAAUGUCUCUAGUUAUUCAUUUAUUAUCUUCAACGAUUUCGAAACCUGCUACUAUAGUUUACAGAAUGGUUAUGUCACACUCUGCUAUUCUUCCUGUCAGAAUCGGGAAGGUUUGCAUCUAUUCAAAUAAUGACUUCUAAAUUUUGUCUUUACAGGGAGGCUUGAUUGAUAGUGACGCUUUAACCCACAAGAGGAAUGUUAAUACCACAACGCAGUUCAAGUUGGGCCACUGGUGACUUUUCUGCUUAAAUGGAUUCAUCAACUCAAUUUUGUCGUUAAUUUUUGUUUUGAGUCCAUUUUCCUUGAUGAUGUUGUAUUAGGAUUUUAAGCUUAGUCGUUCAGGCGUGACACAUUUUCAGUGGGAAGUCACAAGCAUAAUUCAUUUUUCUUAAAUUAGACUCAAGAUUUUUAUGUGCAUUAUUCUUCUGUUUUACGAAUAUAAUUGGCUAAGCCUUAAUGAUAUUGUUGACGAAUCUUCACAAAAGGAUUUAAUUGCCUAAGCCUUAUAUGUUCAUCCGUUUUACGAAUUUAAUUGGCUAAGCCUUAUAUGUUCAUCUUUUGUGAGUAUUCAUUCUAGGAUUCUUCACAAAUUUCUGAGAAUUUCAUUUGAUCCAUACUAUGGCCGUUGAAAUGUUAGUACCUUUUUUAAAUUCAAUUUUUUUUAUUUACAGAAUUGUAUAAUCCUACAAGAAGAGAAGAGAACAUGUGAUCACCUACAAGAGUGGGUCGUCAAAAACACAAAUAGAUUUUCUUCUAAUGAGGAAAGGGGACCGUAUAACUUGUAAGGAUUGCAAAGUUAUACGGGGAGAGAGCUUGGCUAAUCAACAUCGCUUGUUGGUGAUGGAUGUACAUAUCAAAAGAGAGAGAAAAAAGAACAAGACUUGGAAGUGCCCAAGGACUAGAUGGUGGAAUCUAAAAGGAGAAAAACAAGCCAUUUUCAAAGAGACAGUAAUCACCCAAUGCGUGUGGGAUAGAGAGGGGGAAGCUAGCCAAAGGUGGGAUUCCAUGGCUAGUUGUAUCUGAAAAGUAGCAAAAGAGGUAUUAGGAGAGUCCAAGGGCUUUGCUCCACACCAAAAGGAAUCUUGGUGGUGGAAUGAGGAGGUACAAACAAAGGUGAAGGCUAAGAAGGAAUGUUGUAAAGCCUUAUACAAGGAUACGACCAAUGAAAAUGGUGAAAGGUAUAGAAAAGCAAAGCAAGAGGUGAAGAAAGCUGUGAGAGAAGCUAAGCUAGCGGCUUAUGACGAUAUGUAUAAGCGACUAGAUACCAAAGAAUGAGAGUUGGAUAUCUAUAAACUAGCUAAAUCAAGGGAAAAGAAGACAAGGGACCUAAACCAAGUGAGGUGCAUCAAUGAUGAGGAUGGAAAGGUUCUUGCUACAGAGAACGCGGUCAAAGACAGAUGGGGAGGUUAUUUUCAUAAUCUUUUCAAUGAAGGACAUGAAAGGAGUACUUCUUUAGGGGAGUUAAGUAACUCAGAAGAGUGUAGAAACUACUCCUUUUACCGCCAAAUUAGGAGGGAAGAAGUGGUUGUAGCUUUGAAAAAGAUGAAGCAUAGAAACGCGAUGGGCCCAAAUGAUAUACCGAUUAAAGUGUGGAAAGUCUUGGGAGAGACGGGUAUAGCAUGGCUCACUGACCUUUUCAAUAGGAUUUUGAAAACGAAGAAGAUGCCAAAUGAGUGGCGAAAGAGCACUUUGGUGCCUAUCUACAAGAAUAAGGGUGACGUACAAAAUUGCAUGAACUAUAGGGGUAUUAAGCUAAUGAGCCAUACAAUGAAGCUCUGGGAGAGAGUCAUUGAGCAUAGAUUGAGGCAAGAGACACAGGUUUCGGACAACCAAUUCGGAUUCAUGCCAGGGCGCUCAACCAUGGAGGCAAUCUAUCUCUUACGAAGAUUGAUGGAAAGAUAUAGAGAUGGGAAAAAGGAUUUACACAUGGUCUUUAUAGAUUUGGAAAAAGCGUAUGAUAGGGUCCUAAGAGACAUUCUUUGGAAGAUUUUAGAGAAGAAAGGAGUACGAGUAGCAUAUAUCCAAGCUAUAAAGAUAUGUAUGAUGGAGCAAGGACUGCCGUAAGAACUCAUGAAGGACAAACCAAAAGCUUCCCCAUAACUGUAGGGUUACAUCAAGGCUCAUCCUUAAGUCCUUACCUUUUUGCUUUUUGCAGUGGUAAUGGAUGAGUUAACAUGACAUAUUCAAGAUGAUAUUCCUUGGUGUAUGCUUUUCGCAGAUGAUAUAGUGUUGAUAGAUGAAACUCAGGAAUGGGUAAAUGUGAAGCUUAACCUUUGGAGAGAAGUGUUGGAUUAGGGGUGAGGAUCGGAGAUCAGGAAAUACCAAAGAGCGACCGUUUUUGCUACCUAGGAUCUAUCUUGCAAAAGAACGGAGAAUUAGAUGGAGACCUCAACCAUAUAAUACAAGCUGGAUGGAUGAAGUGGAAGGGUGCAUCAGGCGUGUUGUGUGACCGCCGUAUGCCACUGAAGCUCAAAGGAAAAUUUUAUAGGACGACAAUAAGGCUGGUGAUGCUGUAUGGCACAAAAUGUUGGGCGGUGAAGCAUCAACACGUACAUAAAAUGGGUAGCGAAGAUGAGGAUGCAUCGUUGGAUGUGUGGGCACACGAGAAAGGAUAAGAUUAGGAAUGAGGAUAUCCGAGGUAAAGUAGGAGUAGCCGAAAUUGAAGGAAAGAUGAGAGAAAAUCGGUUACGGUGGUUUGGACAUGUGCAAAGAAGGCCUACUGACGCUCCAGUUCGAAGAUGUGACUACGGGACAGAGGUUCGGGGCCGAAGGGGUAGAUGAAGACCUAGGAAAACUUUGGAAGAGACCCUAAGAAAAGACUUAGAGUACUUGGAUCUCACGGAGGACAUGACAGAGAACCGAGCACAAUGGCGUUCGAGGAUUCAUAUAGCCGACCCCACUUAGUGGGAAAAGGCUUUGUUGUUGUUGUUGUUGUACAAAAUUGUAUAAUCCUUUUGAAGCAGUGGGGAGCUGCGGUUUCACUCACGCUUUCAAAUUUUGACCACUCGCUCAUUGUAAUAUCUCUCUCUCUUUCUCUCUCUCCCUCCAUCCCUCCCUCCCUCCCCUAUUACAUUUGGGUUUUCUCCUGUUUCUCUUUUUGUUGAUCUAAUUUGUGGUGAAGCUGUUUAGUUUGCUUGAAUUGGAAUGUGGGUUUAAUUGAGUUUCCUUUUGUUUGUCAAUUCGAUUUUGGGAGGAUUGGCAUGUGGUUGUUCAGGCCUUUACAACCACUUUGUGUCUGGCAAAGGUAAUAAUAUUACUCUUCGUUUCAUAAGCUUCAUUUUUAAUGCCCAGAAAAAUUUGGAAUUGAGAACAUGAUGGGGUUUUAGGCAAUACCUAAGUUCUGUAAUUUUCCCCGUUUGUUGUUAUUAGCAAUUUCUUGAAUCAUGUUAGUUUGAUAGUGUUCUGCUGCCCAGGAUUUUUUUUUUGAAUUUAAAAUAUCAUGGGAUUGGGGUUUUAAGAUUUUAACAACAAUUGGUAAGAAUUUUGGUGAAUUUUGAUGCUCAAUGGACUUUGUUGAAAAUUUGGAAUUAAGACCAUGAUGGGGUUUUGGGCAAUACCCAAGUUCUGUAAUUUUCCCCGUUUGUUGUUACUAGCAAUUUCUUCGUUCAUGUUAGUUUGAUAGUUUUUUGCUGCGCAUAUUUUUUUUUUUUGAAUUUAAAAUAUCAUGGGAUUGGGAUUUUAAGAUUUUAACAACAAUUGAUAUGAAUUUUGGUGAAUUUUGAUGCUCAAUGGACUUCGUUAACAGCUUCUAACUUUGUUAUGCAUUGAAAUAUUGGUGGGUUUUCGUCAGAGUUUGCUUAUAUCUUUGUAUAGUAUGUCUGUUGUAUUAUCUUGUCACAGAUACCUUAGUUCAGUAACUUGAGAAGCAGGGGGAGAUAAUAGACUAAUCAAGGAGGUGCAUGUGAUAAACGAUAAACAAGUAAGCAUCAUCCUCUUCCUUCUUUUGUUAUGGUUGGUUGUAUAGAGAAUUGAGAAAAAAGUUGAAGACAAUUUUGCGCUUUUGAGUUAUAUCAAUAAAAUGACAUUGAUUAGUUCACUUAAGUGUUGAAUCAUUCGUUAGUUUAUCUGUGGUGUGUGCUUGAGAAUGAAAGCAAUGGACUUUAUAUGGAAUUGAUGUUCCUUUUAAUGUCACUAAAGAAAGGAGUUGUUCCUUUAUUAGCAAUUAUAUGAAGUAGGCAUAUUAUGCAAUACAAUGUCUACAAUCGACUAUUUUACUUUUUGUAUAGUACAACUGUUGAUCGAAAGCCACAGAAACUACCUAAAGGUCAAAGAACUGUUUGUGUUAGAAGAACAGAAUAUGGUGUAAAGCUUAAAUUUUGGGCACUUUUUUUCAAUUACAAUAACUUGCAUGAAAGUUCAAUUGGGUUUGUUAUGGUCUCCAAGAAUUUUGGUUUGUUUGGUUACUAAUUAAUUUAUGUGGUGGGAGUUUAGUUUUUCCUUUUCUGCCUAUUUAUCUAUGAUUCAAAAUGGACCGUACAAUUUGCUAUAUAUAAAUUUGUAAUAAAAAAGCUCGAAAAAGAGGUGAAUUAGAAACAGUGAUGAUAGAGUGAUGGAGUUGAGAAGUCAAGAGUUUACGGGGUUUACUUGAAUUUUUGUAUGAUGUCCCUGGUAUGUUAGAUCAUUGAGACUAACUGUCUAGUUGGUUAAUCACUAAUUUGAAGUAUUUAAAGUGUAACUUUCCUUUAAAUCCUUUUCCUUUUGUAUUUUCAUUGGAGCACAGAUAAAAUAUAUUUCUUUUAUCUUUUUCAACCCCAAACUUUCAUUGUCUUCUGAGAGUGGUCCAACUAGAGAAUUGGAUGACAAGUUUAGGUUUAAUACAUACUUGAGUUCCCACAAGGAAGAUGGUAUUUUAGAAGUUACCAAAUUGGACACUAAGGAUAGACUUCUUAAAGAUACUGCUACAGUACCCAAGCAGGAAGGAAUAGAACCAGAUAGACUAUUACCGCCCAAAAAUAAAUUGGCUAGGUUGUUUAGUUGACAGAGUUCAUACGGGAUAUGUCCUCCCAGUUCGUUAUCAUUCAAUACAAACCUUGGAGAUUUUGUAGCUGUCACACCCUGAUCCCGACAUACGUUCAGGAUCGAUACGUGACGUCACAAAAAACUCGUGUCUCUCACAUGCCCCGCCUCCAAGAUAUGGCAAAUUACAACUCGAGAAUCAAAUUGCAAAUAAAUUUUUCGUAUACUUUAGGGCUGCAUCUAACUUCCUCGUUAGACUGCCUACGUACCCUCAUUAGGGAUCAAGCCAUUCGUAGUUCGUUAUUCACUAAUUUAGACAAUUAUUCCAGUGCGUUCUAACAGGAAUACAUAACAUUUUGUAAUAAAUUAUUAGAACUUGACAUGCAUGACAUUACCAAGUUCCGGCUACAAAACAAACCAACAUACUGUUCAAAAUUCUCAUUCCAUCCAUCAUAUAAAUUCCAUAUUUUCAGCACGAUACUUCCAUUCACAACAUGUAACAUAUCAAAUAACCAACGAAGCACAUAAUAUUCUCAAGCCACAUUGAUCAACUAAAAAUAAUCAUAAUAAUAACAACCAUAACCAAGGUCAUUCCCCAAUCUCGUCAAUCAAUCAAUUCAUGAAUUAAAGAUACAUGAUCUUAGCAUUUAAUUAUGUUAAUCAAUGCAUGUAGUAACAUAUCAUUUCACAAUUUAACCCAGGGAACUCUAUAUAAUACCCUUCUUGGAUUAUGAGCAAUAACAUGGUAAAUCUAUUUUAUAUUCACAAGGUCUAAUGUGGAUAAUUCUCAUUCACUUGGAUCUAGAGUUCUAGACUAACCCUUUGGAAAUAUGUGAGAGUAAGGAUUCCGGACCACUUAACAGAAUCCAACCAAAUCGGGUUCCGGACCACUCAACGGAACCACCAUGUCAAUCGGUUUCUCGUAAUCUAUCCAGACCUGUUGUAUGUAGAAUCAGUGCCAUCGAUCACAGUUAUAAAUCUCAAAUAUAAGUUCAUAAAUAUGAAUACAUAGACAAGUCUUAAUAACUCUGAAGGAAUCACCCAGACAUCCAACGACUUUUAUAAUUCAAACCACAAGAUUCUCAAAAUCCAUCGUUCAUAUGUACAUUAAACGCUAGGGUUAGAGGAACGCAGUUGGGCUGAAGCCUACAUAAGUAACCAAACAGGAAUAAGUAACCAAACAGGAAGUGGCCCCCCAAAGUGGAUUAACCAAGCAAAGACACCCUUGAGAAAAUAACCAAGUAGACAGUGACCUCCCAAUGCGGAUUAACCAAGCACAGUCACUCAUAUAGCUGUUAGAAAGUGAUCACCCAAUGCAGAUUAACCAAGCAUGAUCACUCUUAAGCAUACAUGCCAUAAGAAUCGCCCAAUGCGGAUUAACCAAGCGCGAUCCAUAUAUAGUAUGGUCCCUCAAUGCGGAUUAACCAAGCAGGACCACUAUUGACCCCCCAAUGUGGAUUAACCAAGCAGGGUCAAAAUAACUAAGUAGGUAGAGACUCCCCAAUGCGGAUUAACCAAGCAGAGUCACACCUACAAAACUGUUAGGCAGUGAUCACCCAAUGCGGAUUAACCAAGCAUGAUCAUCCCUAAGUAUAAAUGGCCAUAAGGAUCGCCUAACGCGGAUUAACCAAGCAGGACCAUCCGUGUACCGCUGCUACAUGGUGCAGAAAAUUCAAUACACACAACUUACCCAUCAUUUACCCCCAUGGGUUACAACAUAAUCACCUACACCAACAAUUCUCAUGCCCACCAACUCAAAUGCCCCACAAGCAUAUAAGUUCUACAAAAAUACUUCUAAUAGGAAUCUACGAUCAUAUUGUCACAACAUUUAUCGGACUUACCCUUCACGUUACUAAAAAGAUAAUUAAACGCACAUAUAUCACAAUCAUCAUCCGUACACAAGCCAAUUCAUGUUUAAUAAACAUAAGUCUAUGGCUAAACAUAUAUAUAUAAAUCAUAUUUCAAUAGAAAUCCUAUUUAUAAGGCCAAUUCAUAUUCACAAUUGAUAUCAAUAUAAGAAAUUAAGAUAAUAAACAAUAUCAAAAAUAUUCAAGUCACUCUCCAACCAAUGUAGGCCCACUCGACUUCACUUAAGUCUCCCGUAGUACUAAUUUUUGUAUCCAGAACGUCUCGAGACAUGUUGACCAAAAGUUAAACUCGAUUUAGUAAAUUCCACAAUUCUACACAAUUCAAUACGGAAAAUCAGAGCAAACGGAUUUAUACCUAUGAACCAAAGUCCACAUUAUGGCCUAGAAACAACCUCAAUUUCACUCAAUUCGCGUCGAAACCCUAGAAAAAGGUGCAGUUCAAUUCAACGUCAAGCUCAAUUCCGCCGCCUCCAAUGUCGAUUGGGCUUUGUUCCUGGACUCCAAAGACACCUGAGGGUGGUGAUGGUUGAAGAAAAUCCCUUCGGAAAUGAAACGGAUUGCCCCGUGGCAAACACCCAAAUUGUUCUUCUUCACGAAAUUACCCCCAAAUUCCUUCAAAUUUUGGAUGAAAAUGGAAGAGGGAAUGGCGAGAUGAUGCUCGGGCAUGUUAAAUUGGUCCAAUUCGACGGAAAUCCGAUGGAAAACCAUCGAAAAAUAUGGAAAAAUGGGUUGGGUCGCGCGGGUCAAGGAGAAGAACCGUUUUCCCCCUCCUUCUCACCUUCCCUCCCUUCCCUCCUUUCUCCCUUUCUGAUUGGGCACUCCCUUUUCUCUCCCCCCUUUUCAUUGGUUCCUUUAACUCACAUAAAUAUCCUUUUCCUCUUCCCCACCAGAAGGGAAUUUAUAAUAAAUUUAAAAUCUAUAGAUUAGUAACACAACUUCAAAUGUCCGUAUCUAUACCGUUAUAAUCCGGACUCGCAAAUGGCUUUUGCCUAUGUGCUCGUAGUUUCAAAAUCUAUUUGAAUACGUUACUUGUGACCUUGAAAGGUCAACGAAUUUUAGAUAAUUACUUUCCAAACUUCAAAUUUCAUAACUAAUUUAAUUAAACUCUAAAUUCAAACAAUUUAAAAUAAAUUCUCGAAAAAAUAAUAUAAAAUCUCAAUAAUACAAAUUUGUAGGUGAUAACAGUGAAAUCCAAGAACGGGAUUUCACAAUAGCCUUUGUAUUGAAGUUGGAAUUGCUCUGCUCAACUGAUUAUUUCCCAAGCUUAAAUCUAUCAAGUUGUUGAAGUUUCCAAUAUCAACGGGAAUGUUACCCUUGAUGUUGGAAAUGCUUAAAUCAAUAGACUACAACAGUUUGAGUAUUUUACGACUUGAAAUAUACGGUGUACAAACGGGCAUGCCUUAAAUGAUAUUAUUCAUGACAUUCAUAAAGUUCAUGUCGUAAUACUUGCUCAUAAUCUCGCAUUCACGACAUCACUUUUAUGCUAGUCAUUAAAUAAAAAAAAAUUUAAGUGUUGUGUGGCAUAUUUGACAAUUUAUACGAUGCACUUUCCUUCUCUUUUAAGGCUUUAUGUUAUGUCGUAGAGUAAAUUUUCUAUAUAUUUGGGUAACUACGUUUUAUAGCACGAAUAACACGUCAUAAAUAAUGGCGUCUAACUUCCGCCUAAAUUUCUCACCCCGUGCGUUCUUUUAUUUUUCUUGAAUCAAGAUCUCACGGCUUCCUCAACAUCCCUUUAUUUUUCUUUAAUAAAUGAUGAACCGGUACCCAGCCUGGACUGUUGAUUUCAGAUCCAAAGAUAUUCAAUCUACACCUAUCUCAGGUUUUGUCUGUCUCUCUCUGCCUUUCUCACGCAGUCUCUUUCUCGACUUUCACUCUUUUCAUAUUCGUAUCUCCCAAUCCCAACAACCUCGAUAUCUCUCUCGUCUCAAACCACGGUACCACCAUCAUCUUGUGUCAACUCUCGACUCUUUCCCACCACCUGCACUUGACGGUCCUGACUCCUGACCACCAUCUAUGUUCCAAAUAAGGUAUGCAGUUAGGGAUUUAAGAUUGAAAUAAAUUGGGGUUUUCUAGAUUUAGGGAUUUGAAUUUGAAUUUAGAGAUUUGGAUUUCGUCAAUUCUGGAAUCAAAUGUUAAUUAUAAUUUGUUUAAUUUUUGGCAAUUUGAGUGCAAAAUUAGGGUAAUUAGUGCUGUAGUUUUGUUUUAGUUUCUGUCAUCUGUCAGUACAAAAUCACGGCUUUUAAUUUUCAGUUUACAAGUCAUCAUAAGGAAUAGAUAAUUCUAGAAUUAUAGUGCAAACUCUUGAUUUUCAGUUUUAGACUUGGUUAUGUUUCAAAAUUCUGAAUAGUUUUAAUUAUGGUGUUGGGGAUUUGUUAAUUUUGCUCUCUCUCUCUCUCUUUAUGAUUUGGUUGGGAUUGCAGAGUGACUUGUGUUUCUUUGUAUGCACGCCCCGGACAUCCAGGUCACAUGGGGUAACUCAGCAAGGUUCUACUUUUGCAAAGGAGAUGGAGUUGUUACAGACUUAUAGUGAUACUGCAAUCCAAAUAAUCUGUUUUGAAAAUCCAAAUAAUCUGUGAGUAUGUUGUAGUAGUAGAAUAACACUGUGGGGCUUUAGCCUAGUACUUCAAUUAUUGACUUUGUUGCUUAGCCUAGUACUCUGUGAGUCUGUUAUAGUAGUAGUGUAGUACUUUGUUUAGUUUGUACUAUUGGAUAUUGGAUAAAAAUGAUAAUUUGAUUGAGUUCCUUUGGUAUGAUUUAUAUUCACUUAUUUAUUCUAUUUCUUUUUACUAUUUUUCAGGUAGCAUUCAAGUCUUUGGUGAAUUUUUAAAUGAAGAGGUUGCAAAUGCAACGGUAACGAGUGGAAAAGUUUAUACUUAAUUUUAUUAGUAUUAAAGUCUUUAUCAAUUUCUCAGUUAACAUUUUGUUUUGACUAGCUCUUAACUUACCAAUCGAAUCCAUCUCCUUUGACUAGCUAGAGUAUCUUGGUUGGGAAUUCUAUCCAUUCCCAGCGCCUAGUUUCCAAAGACGAAGUUGAGACAGGUUGGGAACUCUCUCUUUCUCUCCUUUUGUUUUAGUUCCCAAUAAAGUUGAUUGGAUUGAAGAAAAUAGAACAAUAUGAUUAUUAAUGAAAUUAUUGUAUUAUAGUAAAUGUGUAAUUUUGUCGAUUCUUUUAUAUAUAUAUAUAUAUAUAUAUUUAUAUAUUAAAAAUUAAAAUUAAAAUAAAUGUAAGUUACUGUAUGCAAAAUCAGCAGUAAUUGUUAAUGCUAGUCUUCGUUUACGAUGAACGACGUAUGCCGUAAUUGGUUUCACAGUGUUACGACACUCAACAAACGCGGUAUCAAAUAUAAAUUACGGCACACAGGCAUGCCGUAAUUGUUUUUGCAAUAUUAUGACACUUCAUUAACGUUGUAUCUAAUACCAAUUAAGACGCGCAACGCACGCCUUAAAGGGCAUUUACGACGUGUUUUGCUUAAAUUAUUCAUGGCUACUAGAGAACGUUUUUUUACAAAAACAUAUUUUACGGCAGGGGUUUUUACUGCUUGGGGACUCACGCCAUGAAUAAUUGUUUACAACGCUCUUUGUGCGCCGCAAAAGACCAAUCCUGUUAUGUAACAAAUGCUCAUUUUUCUUUUGCACUCUUUUAUGAAUUUCAUUUGGAUGGGAAUGGUUAGGUGACAUUACUUGUUACACCAAAAAAGGUCUGGUUUUGGUAUAAAAGCUUAACUGCAAAAAGGCAUCUGAAAGGUUUCGUUUAGCUACUAAGAAAGUUUGGGAGGGGCCAAACGUCUUAGGUUGAGAUUACAUAUACAAGGGUGUUAGAUUUACAUAAUGGGUUUACAUAAUGAGUUGUUGAUGACUACAUACGCAUUGAGAAUUUAGCUUUUGUCUUUGUGUCUGAUGAGGUAGUGGUUUUUUUUUUUUUUUUUUUUUUGGUGUCAUUCCAUUUUAAUCUUAGUUCCAUUUAAAUGAAGACAUUUGAAGAACCUAAUGUAAAACAUCCGUACAAGCAAAACACAUCUUAGCAACGCCAAUAAAAUCAUCUACGAGAGUUGAUCCAAUCCAGGCAGGCCGCAUUGGCGGGGGGGGGGGGGGGUUAUUGAAGACAAAGUUGCCGAGAUCCAUAUUAAAACUCCAAUUUUGCAACUGAUGAGCAACACAAUUCCGCUCCUUGGAAACAUGCUUCAUGCUUCAGGUCAGCUCACAUCUAACCAAUUGACUCAUCAAUGUUUUGCAUCUACUCACAAUUGUAUCAAGAGGAUAAUAGCUCUCAACCAAAUUUUGUUAGAACAAAGUGACAGCAAACACCUUUGUCAAUAAAAUUUCUGUGUCCCAAAUUGACAGAGAACUCCACCUGCACCAAUCUUGAACCAUCAAUAUUAUACCAACGAAUAUUAGGAGGUUCCCAAGCAAUGGGAGCAGCCUUCUAUUAGGUUUAUGGGGGAGAACCAACUCAAGCUUUCACCCAGUUCUUGACAUUUUGCGUGUUUACUAACAAGCAUGGAAUCUGAAGGGCUAGUUGAUUCGUAACUCAAUACUUGAAAAUUAGGAAUCAAAUCAAAAUGUUUAUUUUUUAUUGAUAACACAUUUGCAUAUUUAGUUUAAAAUUUUGGUUACCUGUAUUAUCCUAAUGCAAAUAUCUUUUGACAAAUAAAAAAUACAUACAAUGAUAAUUUUGAGUGGUGAUAUCCACACUAGGGGUGCAACUUGAGUUAGGCCAAUCCGAACUCGCACAUGUCCAACUCGACUUUAAACCCGAACAAGAAGGUUUUUUUUUUUUAAGUUAUAACCCGCCCGAACGUAACCCAUUUCAACUCGUUCAUUGAUUGGGUUAAGUUGGGUUGAUCAUUUGUGUGAAAUUCUGUUCCUAGAUUUCACUGUUAUAAUCUACGUAUUUGUAUUAUUGAGAUUUUAGAUUAUUUCUCGAGAAUUUACUUUAAUUUGUUUGAAUUUAGAUUUUAAUUAAACUAGUUACGAAGUUUGAAGUUUAGAAAUUAAUUAUUUAAAAUCAUAGACUUUUCGAGGUUAUAAUUUAUAUCUUCAAAUAGAUCUCCAAAGCACGAACGCAUAGGUGAAAGCCGUUUGCAAGUCCGGAUUAUAACGGUAUAGUUACGGACAUUUGAAGUUGUUUUACUAAAUUAUAGAUUUUAAAUUUAUUUUAAAACUCCCACCUUGUGGGAAAGGGACCAUUGAGAUAAAAGGGUGAGGGACCAAUUAGAAAGGAGGGAUGUUUCUUAAAUAAAUAAAAAAAAAAAAGAGGGAGGAGGUCUGAUUCUAACCCGUUUUGGGGGGAGAUUGGACUCGUUAACCCACCAACUUGACCCACUUGUAUCUCCUCUGUUCGAGCUUCGUUUUGGGUGAUCUUGGUGUCCAUGGAAAGCUCUUGACGAGCCCUACAUCUCUGUAGUGUUAGAUUUCCCAUUUUCUUUUCCAUCUUUGCAGUUCGAAGCCACAAAGCUCACGACUUUUUCGGCGAUUUUAUCAUUUUUCUGGUGAUUCCGGCAACCAUUUCCUUUGAUUGAGGUAUGAAACUUCAUCUACUCUUCAUAAUCUUCAAGUUGGUAUGCUUAGUUUGUGCUUUUGUAUUCAUUUUAGAGUUAGGUGUUUAGAACCCUAGAAAUCCGGUUUUCUUCGAUGAAUUUGGACGGUUUCCGGUUAGAAUUUAUUGUCGGCCUAGAUGUGAAGUGUUUCCUUUGUUGAGCUCUAGCUACCACGUAAAUUUGAGCUCACUUAGUUAAUGUUGAAAAUUCAGGUUUUCUAAACCCUCCACCUUGGCUACCACCACGUGUGGCGGUGCGUGGGACGGUCUACGAGUAUUGUCUAAGUACCAUAUACCUUCUAGUGACCCUAUGAACCUAUGUCUAGCUCGGUUUCCUGAAAUUCAAUUGUUUGGUGUGGUGAUUAAAUUGGACCACCACUUGUUUGUGUGAUUGAUAACAAUCCGAUCGUUGGAUCGUCGUACAAUUUUGUGAGCACCCUAGUUAUCAGUUGUUGGACCUUUGAGAACUUAUAGAUCGGAAAUCCAAUGUGCAAAUCUUCCGGAUUGAAUAACCUUAGAUUGUUGACCUUAAUGGACCUACCUUAUCGACGGUUGACGUUCUAGUCAACGUGCUCUACUCUAGAGUGUCGUUUAUCUCUAGUUUGUUGUUGAGGCUUGAUGGAGCUUAGUUGGCUCAUUACGAUGACGUGUUGUUCCCAGUUGACGUGUGUCUCGAUAUAUGUAUUAGUGGGACCAUAUUGAGUUAUACUUGUUUAUUAAAUGUGCUUUCUAUUGAAUUGUUAUUUUUAUUUUUAGCAUUGAUCUAUGUUUAUUAAUUGUGAAUCGACUGUAGCUUGGAAACGUUUAUGAAAUGUGGUUAGAUAUGUAUGAUUAGUAUGAUGUGUAUGAUUGUUUUUAUGACAAUGUGAACCCAGAAUCUUAUGAGAAGUAUUAUGUAGAACCUUUAUGCUUGUAUGAUAAGAUAGUGGUCAUGAGAAGUUGAUAAUGCAAGUGAUUACGAUGUAAAUCAUAGCAGAUGAGUUAAGGGUAAGUGGUUUGUGUGUUGAUCUAACUGCAUCAUGUAGCAGUGGUACAUGGAUGGUCCUGCUUGGUUAAUCCGCGUUGGGGGACCAUACUAUAUAUGGAUCGCACUUGGUUAAUCUGCGUUGGGCGAUCCUUCUGGCCAUUUAUACUUAGGGGUGAUCAUGCUUGGUUAGUCUGCAUUGGGUGAUCACUGCCUAACAGUUCUAUAGGUGUGACUCUGCUUGGUUAAUCCGCGUUUAGGGGUCACUACCUACUUGAUUAUCUUGACCCUGCUUGGUUAAUCCCUAUUGGGGACCAUACUAUAUAUGGACCGCGCUUGGUUAAUCCGCGUUGGGCGAUCCUUAUGGCCAUGUAUGCUUAGGAGUGAUCAUGCUUGGUUAAUCCGCAUUGGGUGAUCACUUCCUAACGGCUGUAGAAGUGACUCUGCUUGGUUAAUCCGCAUUGGGGGGUCACUGCCUACUUGGUUACUUCCUCAAGGGUGGCUCUGCUUGGUUAAUCCGUUUUGGGGGGCCACUUCCUGUUUGGUUACUUAUGUAGGCUUCGGCCGAACUGAGUCCCUCUAGCCCUAGUUUUUUUUGGAAUCUUGGUGGUUUGAAUAGGAAAAGUCGUGGGAUGUCUGGGUGACUCCUUCGGGGUUUUCAGCUACUUGAUUAUGAUUUCAUAAAGCAUGAUUCUAUACUCGAUGUUUAUAGAUCGGGAUCGAUGGUAUGGUUUUUAUUGAAUAUCACAUAAUUGUAUUAUUGUCACUCGCCCGAGCUUCGCAACUUAACCGAGUUCUGAUUUGCCAGUGCACCAUUCCCUUGAUGUAGGCACUGAUUUUACAGAUGACAUGUCUGGGUAGAGUACGAGAAACCGUUUGGUAUUUUGGUUCCGUUGAGUGGUUCGGAAUCCUUGCUUUUGCUUAUUCCCAUAAGAUUAGUCUAGAACCCUAGAUUCGAGUGAAUGGGAAUUACCCACAAUAGACCUUGUGAAUUUAUAUACCAUGUUAUUACUCAUAACUCAAGUAGGGAAUUAUAUAGAGUUCUCUAAUUGAAUUGGUGAAAUGGUAUGUUAUCUCAUUGGUUGAUUAAUAUAGUUAAAAGUUAAAAUCGUGCAUCUUUGAUUCAUGAAUUGAUUAAUUGACGGGAUUGUGAAAUGACGUUGGAUAUAGUUGUUAUUAAUAUGAUUAGAUUAAUUAAUGAAUGUGACUAGAGGAAAAUAUUGUGCUUGGUUGAUCCUUUGAUAUGUUACAUGCUUGGAUUGCGAUAUUAUGUUGAAAACAUAGUGAUUUAUAUGAUGGGUGGAAUGGAAACCUUGAAUGUCAUGUGAGUUUGUUAUGUAGGCCUAAACCUAGUAAUUUCAUGCUUGUUAAUUCUAACAAUUGAUUGAGAAAUGCUAUGCUUUUUGAUUUGACGUACUGUGAUAAAAGUCGGUGUGUAGUGAAUGACGAACUACGAAUGGCUUGAUCCCUAUUUAGGGUACGUAGGCAGUCUAACGAGGAAGUUAGAUGCAACCAUAAAAUGUACGAAAAAUGCUAUGAAAUUUGAAUCUUGAUCUAUACUUUGUACAUAUCCCGGAGGCGGGGUAUGUUAGAUAUACGGGUAUUUGGUGAUGUCACGUGUCGAUCCUGGAUGUAUGUUGGGAUCGGGGCGUGACAAUUUGCCCGUCCAUCUCCAACCCGAUUAAUUAAACCCAAUCUAACAAGAUUGUAAAUCAUAUCAAUUUAUGCUCAUACUACAUCCAAGUGGGCCAAGUCCAAAAAUAAGAAACUUUGAUUAGUUAGCUCAUAUUCAUAAUCUCUAAAUCCUAAAGCUUUAUAAUCAUUAGUCUCCAAAACCUAAAUUCUUUGUGUUUCGAAGCAAUUGCUCAUCAACUUUGAUUUAUUUAUGAAAUUAAAGUUAACUAGCUUUGAUGCUACUUGGCUUAAUUUUUUUAGGAAUUCUUGCAAACUAAGUUAUUACAAUAUUACACUCAAAAUAGUUGGGCAACCCCGAACCCAACCAAGUAAACCCGAACCCAAUUAAACCCGAGCCCAAAUGAACCCGAAUGAAACUCAACCCAAGCCUGAAUUGUAAAAAUUGGGUUAGGAUUGGGUUGACCUUCCAACCCGUCCAACCAGCCCGAGUUGCACCGCUAAUCUAUACACUCAUUUUUACUUUUCACACACCUCUAUUAUUUCCUGACUGUCGAUCAAUUGAAACAGUCAAAUGACAUAAAUUAAUAAGUGAUGUGUGAGAAGUAGAAAUAAGUGUGCGAAGAUGCAACAAAACUAAACAGAUACCCAAAAAUACCACAACACAGAGUCGGUCAGUACAUUUCAGUUGCAAAUGAAAAUUAUAAACACUGGGAUUUGCUCUCUCUAUCGCUAAGAGAUUCUCUGUGAUCGAUAGCAAUGGCGGACAAUGGCAGUCGUCUGCAAAUGCACAACAGCGAGGAGGAGCUUCUUCUGCUUCAGAGAAGUCAGUUUCGACGACAAGCCCGACCACCGAAACCUCCUCCGAAACGUUUCGACUCUUCCCGUCUUUAAAAAAGGCCUCUUCACUCGCUGCAGCCCAUCCCUUGCCGGAAACAGUAUUCUCAGGUUUAUCUCACACAAUUACGUUUUUUUUUCCGUUUUCUUUUUAGUUGCACUGUCUGUUUGGUUCCCGAGAAAACGCAGGAAAAUUUAUAAAGUUUUGAGCUUCUGUAGGGUUUACUGAAGUGAAUACUUGACUAGGUUCAGUUGGGUUGCUGAUGAAUUCAAACAAUGAAAUUUAGACGUGAAUGCUUUUAAUUGAUUUGAAGAGAAGUUUCUGAGCUAGUUUAUUGCUUUUGAAUGUUCAAAUUGGAUCGUAUAAAUGUGUCUCUGUGAUAAUUAGAUGAUUUGUUGCUUGCAGUAUGGAUGCACGAGAGAAUUCGAGGUCCUCGAUAUUGUCAUCAUCCCUAGAUAAGAGAAUUCCCAUAUAUGUGAUGAUGCCUAUUGAUGCCUUCUGCAUUGAUGGUACGGGGCGUCCAAGGAUUAGGAAGUAAGUUUUAUUAUGACUGUCUGUUGAUGAGGCUAUGAUGCAUUUUCAUUCUUAAUUUAAUUGUUAUACUCUUUUAAACGACGGAGUUUGAUUAGCUACAAGGUUGUAGCUAACUAUUUUGAUCUCUUCCCAAUUCAAGUUAUAUAUACGUACGUUUCAAAAUGGUUCUAAAUUUAUUUAUUUUUAAUUUAGUUUCCUUUCAAGUGAGACAGAAUCUCCUUAUAUAUUGCUCGAUUUAUUGUUGUUUCAGAAUCAAGGCCUUAACUGUAGCUCUAAAAAGCACUCAAGUUGGCAGGUGUCCACGGAAUUGCAGUUGAGGUUUGGUGGGGAAUCGUAGAGCGUUUCUCUCCUCUUGCAUAUGAUUGGUCUCUAUAUGAAGGGCUUUUCUAACUGAUUUCUGACUCAGGUUUGAAGUUGCAUGUUGCCUUGUCUUUUCACUCAAAUGUUAACUCUUCUUCUAGCAGAAAAGGGGGUGUAACUCUUCCGCCUUGGAUCAUAGAGGUUUGUUUUCUCUGCAAUUUUGAAAUCCCAUUUGACUGUUUGGCCUUUAUUGGUAAAGUGCACAUGGCAGUACUGGAAUGCUUAAUUUACCCAGUCAUACUCUAUUGUGACAAGAGUAUGAACUUUUCUUCAGUUUCCUGCUCUGCAACAUGCUAUGGUCCUGUGUUCCCCAUUAGCAUACUUGAUUUUAGCUUUGAUGUGCAUAAAAAGUUUAUCUUUGCAAAGGGAUGUAACAUAAAAACGAUAGUUUGGCCUUCAUAACAUGCCCAUCAGUUUGAAUCCUGAAUUUAGAUAAAGAAGUUGACUUCUUCUGUUUUUUUUCCUCCCAGAUUGGUGAUCAGAAUAAGCAUAUAUAUUAGGGGGACCAAAAUGGAUUUUCCAAUGAUGAUUAUCUUACACUCGGAGUUGACCAUGUUCCUCUCUUUUGCGGCUGGACUGCUCUCCAAUGAUAUGAAGAUUUCUUGUCAAGUUUUGCUAAGAAAUUUGAAUCCUUAAUUGGUACUGUGAUAGAAGAAAUUAGUGUUGGUCUUGGUCCUUUUGGUGGACUUAAGUAUGUUACUGUUACACUAGAACCACAAGUAUGAAGCCAGUCCAAUGAUUUCUUAUGCAACAUUGUUACAUUGCUCACACAGAUAUCCUGCACAUCCUUUUGGUGAUGGUAGAUGGAAGUUUCCUGGAAUCGGUGAAUUCCAGUGCUAUGACAAGUGCAUAAAAGGUCGUACCCAGUGCACAAGGCUCCCGCUUUACGCAAGGUCUGGGAGAGGUGAAUGUCGGCUAGCCUUACCCCCAUUUAUGAAGAGGCUGCUCCCAAGUCUCGAACCCGAGACCUACCGCUCAUGGGCGAAGGCACUUGCCAUCGCACCAAGUGCGACCUCUGCUAUGACAAGUGCAUGUAUGCUAAAAAUCUUUCAUUCCUGUGACAGAAAUUUGGAUGCUAUUGAACUUUUCCUAUUUACAACGUUGUUCCUUUUCGGAUGGGCGACCUAAAGAUGGCUGCAGGCAAGGAAGGAAAGCCUCAGUUGGGAGAGAAGGGACCACAAAAUGCUGGCUGUUACAAAGUCUCCCAUCUGAAGUUCCAUUCUUUGAAGAGGGAGAGGAAAGCAUUCUUUCUGAUUAUGGGUGUUUUUUCCUUGUAUGAAACUGAUGGACGCAGCUUGCUUUAUUAUUUCCCAUGAAAAAUUUCUGCAUAACUGAAGCCUAGUGUAAAGUGCACGAAAUCAUUGUUUGUAUUUCAUCCUCGAACUACCACAUUGUUUCUUUAGCCAGGAAACACUUCUGUGUAGGUGCCUGUAAACAAUGCCUGCAAUAUAUAUUUUCAAUCUUUAGUGGAACUUUUCUUAAAACUAACUCUAUUUGCUUCUAGGGGUUAUACUUGCAGACUGUUUGCUACUGGAGUCUUAAAUACUCUUACGCAACAUGAUUAAAAGUAGAUGUGUUUUAAUGAUUUAAUAUGAAGUCAUGACAAUGGAAUGGGUUCUUAAGACACUGCACUAGGUUAGAUGCAAUUUGAUUAAGAAUGAAAUGCAUUGAUGCUUGUCUUCUGGAAAGAAAAAAAAUCGUCAUAGGAUGUACUGGUUAGUAAACUAAGGACAAUUAUGGAUGUAUAAGUGGAAAUUUAAAUCAUGUCUGGUUCUUUAUCAUGCAAUACUUGGCAUAACAUAAUUAAACUUAUUGGAAAACAAUGUGGAGCUUAGGAGAUCUGACAGUGGCUUGACUUGUUGUAGGAAUGGUACAGUGGUCGGUUGCUCCAUCAUGCAGAUGAUAGUCAUGCAAAGGCAGCUAACAUUCUGAAGAAAUAUCAAGAAUAGAAGCAAACUUCUAUUCUAUUGGCAGCUAAAAUUGGUGGUACCAGACGAGAGCACACCCUGCUCAAUUGACAGCUUGAUACUACAACAGUGCUCUUAGAGAUGGUUAUGAUCAUGUAGCUUCAAUUUUGUCUCGUCAUGCUGCUUUGCAUGUUUCGUAAGAUUCCAAGUUUUAAGGUUUUGACUGGAAUUUUGUUCAUUGUCUAACCUGAUAAUUAAGGUUGCUUACACAUUCGCUUGAUUUCAAAUGUAUCUAUUCUACCAUGUUCACGUACUAAAUAUUUUAUUGCAGCAGCUUAAAAAUGAUGGAUGGUGAUAACCCGGCAUCCUAUCUUUGCAGUCCAGAAGGAUUACUCCAACAAGUACGGGGCCUGUUAAUUAAUAACGCUUCCUUAGCUUGUUGCUUUGUUGGUACUUUUUUUUAACUUACUUUAGAAAUUUUAUCCGUAUAAUUCAAGCUUUUGAGUUAGGUAGGACUAACCCAUGCAGCUGUGCUUGUCACAGCAGGUCGUGCAGGGUCUCUAGGUUCAACAUGGGCUUGGAACGGGCCAAUAUGAGCUUUUUCAGUAUUACAGAUAUUGGGUAUUAUUGAUCUGUUUUUUAGGCUUCUUUUAGUAUCUUAUAAUUCAUUCUGAAGUAAAUCUUUAGUUUUAAUUGGGUUGUCUUGCCCAGAUAAUAAAGAAGAAACAUAUGACAAGUUGAUCAAUAACCAUUUUUCUAUUUUAUUGAAGUUUGGAAUACAAUUGAUAAUUUGAUAUUACUAAACAACAAAAAUAGAAUUGCAUCACUAUACCGUAUAUUAGUGUUGUACUACUUUAGAUUGGCAUGGUCUGUCCAUUUACCCCUGUGGGUGGUGGUAGUGCCUAGUGGUGGCUUCUGUUGUCUACAAUUCUAUCAGUCAAUUGGUUUCUUCGAUAAAAUGUCUGGCCUUAUGCUUUGUUUAUUGGGUAUAUAUCAUAUUAUACAAUUCCAAUGUAGUCUAACAUGAUUCGAUUUGCACCAGAUAUGGAGUGUUUCAAAGAAAAGGGUACAUUUGAUCGGUAGAAAUACCAAUGAAGGAUUUGACAGGGUAAGUUCUUCCUUUCCUCAAGAGCAAAAAAUUUCAGCUACCAUUUAUUUCUAUUAGACAUAUAUUGGAUAUUGCAAAUGUCUUAUAACUAGAAACACAUGGCUUCUGAUAGGCUGAUAGCGUUAGUUAAACACUUCUUCUUUUGCCCAUUCUGCGUUGCUUGUUCACACGUCUGCUUUUCUCUUGCACGUUGGUUUAUGGCAAAUACAUACUAACUAUUACCAUUCCCAGGCCGAAGCUGUAAGAUCAUUUACAUAUUUCCGAAUGAAUGAUAAGAUCUUUAGGCCUGAAAAUUGGAGUAAUUUCGUUCCUUUUGUUAAAAAGAUGAGCACAAAUUGGUGAAGCAGCCAAAAAACCCAACUUAAAUAGUAAAUUUAUUGAUCUAGAGUAGCAGCUUCACUGCCCUAUAAUUUUUUGUCAAGGGCAUGUGUAGAAGUUUAGAAGUUUGUCACUUCCUGAUAUAUUGACUGAAAUAACUGUGUUUCCAUGACAGGCGUUCUUGACCUGGAAGUGUAAAUUUUUGAAACGGAUUUGGUUGGCCGUACAAACUAAACGCUUUACUAUCAAAAUAUGAGAAGAAUAAUCGGAAUUGCAAUCUUGGUACUACUGGUCAAAUACAGGUACAACAUUUCACCUUAAGGAAUAUCCACAUCCUGUCAUAUCUGUCACUAUACAAAAAUAAUGUAGUCUUUGCAGAUUGAAAACAACAAUAAGAAAAUGGAUCCGAAAAUAUAGAGAACGAAAAGAACUAAGAGUUCACUCCUUCACAGUCCUUCAAAUACUUCGUCUUGAUUUUGGUGAGUGUGAUUGCAACAUCUUUCAUGUUAAUCCUCGCUCUCGGCAAUGCUGCAGUGCAAGCUAGAGCUAAUCUCAUAACGGAUGAUAAGCAAUCCCUCCUGCUCACGAAAUCACCAUCUUCCUCCGUCCCAAGUAUAUCGGCAUCCAUAACUUCAUCUAUAGCAGCAUCUGGAAAUAAUGAAUCUGCAAUCCAUUGCUUUAAAUUCAUUUCCCCAACGAACAUCUUGUCUGUUGGCUUCCUUUUUGUGAAUGUCUCCAUGAGUAAAAUACCAAAACUAUACACAUCCCCACUCGUCGAAAUGCUUCCUUCGAUCCCAAACUCUGCAAAAUUUGUAUGUUAAUUUAGUUAUAUAUGAUAAAAAGAAAAUUAUAACUCCUAAUAAGACCAACAUAUUCAAAAUUGAGAAAAUACAUCACCUGGAGCCAUAUAUCCAACUGUGGCUAGAGUCAUGGUUUUUGUCAUCGAAUAUCCACCGCCGAUGAGUCUUGCAAUGCCAAAAUCAGCAACAUGUGCAACCAUAUCAUCAUCUAGUAGUAUAUUGCUUGGUUUCACAUCACAAUGAACGAUAGGUAUCUUGUAACCAUGAUGAAGAUAUUCUAGUGCCAAUGCAACAUCUUUCAUUAUGUCUAACCUCUGCAGGAUAGUAGUGGAGCAGUUUGGAGAAUACAAUCACUUUUCGAGGCUUCCAUUAGGCAUCAAUUGAAGUAUCAGGGUUUUGAAAUCAAGUUCAUCACAGCAACUUAUGAUUUUAAUAAGAUUCCGAUGACGGAUAUUGCUUAGCAUUUCACAUUCCUUAUCAAAACUCUUGAAUGCCCCUUCUAGCUGUAAAUUGAAAACCUUGACGGCGAUAUCUAUCCCAUCUGAAAGUGUUCCUUUGUAUACUGAGCCAAAACCCCCCGUGCCAAGUGAGUUAGUCUCAUGAAAUCCAGUUGUCGUCUUUACAAGUUCUAGGCGCGAAACUCUUCUCCAAGGAACUUGAAUUAGUGAGGCAGUUUCUCUUACAACUUCAACAUUCCUUUUCCUGCCUAGUAUCAGAAUUAGUGCAGCAGCUGCUAAGAGUAUUACUGACAUGACCCUAGAGAUGAUAUAUUUAGCUUUCCUCCAAUUUGGCUUAACUUCUGUUUUAUAUAUGCACAAUGGAACGUGGAGUUGGGAAGCACCGCAGAGCGCAUCGUUUGAUACAAAUGAAUCAGCAAAGAAGUUUCCGAAAGGCCCGCCUGUUGGAAUUUCUCCUUGGAGUUUGUUGAAAGACAAAUUCAGAUGCUUGAGAUACAAGAGUGCUUCCAAUGACUUUGGGAUCACUCCAGAUAGAUUGUUUUUGGACAAAUCCAAGAAUUCUAGGCUCAGCAAGGUUUUCAAUGAAGUGGGAAUAGGGCCUUCUAAAUAAUUGUUUGCCAAGGACAGAUUAAUCAUAUUUUGAAGACCACCAAUGCUACUGGGAAUGUUUCCGGAGAAAUGGUUAUUUGACAAGUCCAUAUUCAGCACAUUUUUCAACUUUUCGAUGUCUUCCGAGAGUGGUCCAACUAGAUAAUUGGAUGACAAGUUUAGGUGCAAUAUAUACUUAAGUUCCCACAAGGAAGAUGGUACUUUAGAAGUUAAGAAAUUGGACCCUAACAAUAAUUUUCUUAGAGCUACUGCCAAAGUACCCAAGCAGGAAGGAAUAGAACCAGAGAGACGAUUACCAUCCAAAAGUAUCUCUGCUAGGUUGUUUAGUUGAUAGAGUUCAUAUGGGAUAUGUCCUUGCAGUUCGUUAUCAUUCAAAUACAAAGCUUGAAGAUUUUGUAGCCUUUGUAUUGAACCUGGAAUUGCUCCACUCAACUGAUUGUUUCCCAGGUUUAACGAUAUCAAGCUGCUCAAGUUGCCAAUAUCUACUGGAAUGUUGCCCCUGAUGUUGGAACUCAUUAAACCCACAUAUAGGAGUGAUGUAGAGAGAUUCCUGUGAGAAGCUGGAAUCGUGGUGUUUAGUGGAUUGUCUCCCAAGGAUAAUCUUGUCAAAUUUCUAAGAUUAAACAAGCAGGAGAGGGUGCUUGCUGUUUGUGGAGUAGAAGCAUCAUUUGUCAAACUAUUCGAGAACAAGGAAAGAAACUUGAGGUUUUUCAAGGAACAGAGCGUGCUUGGAAGAAACCCGGUAAAUGAGUUUGUGUUCAUGUCUAGCACCCUGAGCUUGGAAGCAUUGGAGAGGUUAGGGAGUAGUCCGGACACGAGGUUAUUUGCGGCUACACCAAGGAAUUCUAGGUUUGGAGCGUUAAGAGUUAUGUUUGCUGGGAGGCUACCUGAGAGAUGAUUAUAAGAAAGAAAUAUUAUUCUUAUCAUGGAGAGAUUGAAGAGUUUGGAUGGGAUGACGCCAUUGAGAUUAUUAAUACCUAGUGACAAAGCCUCUAACUGUGGAAAAUCACCAAUCUCAUCUGGUAUUGCACCUGCCAUAAUUUCAACACGUUUGCAUUAAAUUUUUAACUUCAGUUUAACUAAAAACUAAAAACGAAAUGAUUAUCAAAUAGUCUUAAAUUUACUACCUGUUAAAUUAUUGUCAGCAAGAUAAAUCUCGGUUAAGUAGGUCAAAUUGCCAAGACUUUUGGGUAUGCUUCCACGGAAAUUGCCAAGACUUUUGGGUAAUUUAGUAAUUACAUGAACAUAAAUUUUGUUGUUAUUUAGGGCAACCUCCAGCCAGGUCACCAUAGCAUGCCAUAUUUAAAAUUUAAAAAUAAAAUAAAAUAGUAAAUAAAAAACAUGCCUACUUUAAAAGAAACUGCUCAUCAUUUUUCCAUUUUUUUAUAAGGGGUGUGUUAUCCACACAUCCAUUUUUACUUCUCACACACCUCUUGUUAAUUUAUGUCCGUUGAUCUUCUUCAUUUCAUCCGAUCUGAUGGCCAAAAAUUAGAAGGGUGUGUGAAAAGUAGAAAGGGGUGUGUGGAUAUCACAACCCUUUUUAUAAUUGAUAUAUUUUUUUAGAAUUUUUAAAACUAAUCACACUUCACAGUAAAAAAAAAAAAAAAUGAAAUGAAAUUAUUCACACUGUGUUAUGUUGCCUAUUUCUCUGGGUAUGUUACCUGUUAUGUGCAUGCAUUCCAACAAAAAGGAAGGAAAAAAAAAAACAAACGAGAUGAUUGUUAUACAUCUUAUAUAUAGAUGUUAAAAUGAAGCAAAGAUGUUAAAUGUUAUCAUGAAGCAAGCAACAUUAAUUUAUAUUCCUAGGUGGUUGGUAAUGGUGCUACAUACGUACCUGAUAGUUGGUUACUACUCAGAACAAUUUUUUCGAGUGCAGAUAAGUUGCCUAUUUCUCUGGGUAUGCUACCUGUUAAAUAUGUGCAUGCAUGCCAACAAAAAAGAAGGGAAAAAAAAAACAAACGAGAUGAUUGUUAUACAUUUUAUAAUAUAGAUGUUAAAAUGUAACAAAGAUGUUGAAUGUAAUGAAGCAAGCAACACUAAUGUAUAUGCCUAGGUGGUUGGUAAUGGUGCUACCUACGUACCUGAUAAUUGGUUAUUACUCAGACCAAUUAUUUCGAGUGCAGAUAAGUUGCCUAUUUCUCUGGGUAUGCUACCUGUUAAAUAUGUGCAUGCAUUCCAACAAAAAAGAAGGAAAAAAAAAAUGAGAUGAUUGUUAUACAUCUUAUAUAUAGAUGUUAAAAUGAAACAAAGAUGUUACCUGUUAAAUUAUUGUUAUGAAGAUAAAUCUCGGUUAAGUAGGUCAAAUUGCCAAGACUUUUGGGUAUGCUUCCACGGAAAUUGUUAUACCCUAAUUUCAAUUCACGAAGCUCUUUGCAUAGCCACAGUUUGGAGGGAAUAAGACCGUCAAACUGGUUUUGACCCAAAUUAAUUAUUUGAACACUCGAAAGAUGCUCACAUAUAUUGUCCGGAAGAUUGCCACUCAUGUUGUUCCCGAAUAGAACCAAAGCAGUCAAAGAAGAUAUGUUGAGGACAGGCACAAAAGCAGAGCCUUUUAGGGCAUUGUGCUGCACAAACAACUCCUCCAACUGACCUAAACUGCCCAUCUCGUUUGGAAGUUCUAUAAAAUAAAUUCGUAUAUAUAUUAAAAUCAUGUAUAGACAUAGGAGCAGCUUAUUAGUAGAAAUCCCGUUGUACUGUAGCAAAAGAGGGAUAACAUUAUAAGGAUCAUGUACUCACUAUAUAGGACCUCUUUUUUGCUCCCGAAUACGAGGGUCUUACACAGUAAAUAUACAAUCCUACGAUAGUUCUCUCAUCUCAUUUUUCGCUAAAGUGGAACGAGAUCCCUGCUAAGAAGGGCCUUGUAUGUAUAGAUGUAAUAAAACCGAAGUCAUACAGUAUACCUUCGAACUUCUUGUCGUCAAGGUAUAUCCCCUUCAGCAUUGUUAAGUUGCCUAUUUCUCUGGGUAUGCUACCUGUUAAAUAUGUGCAUCCAUUCCAACAAAAAAGAAAGAAAAAAAAAUUUGAUGCUUGUUAUACAUCUUAUAUAUAGAUGUUAAAAUGUAAUCAUGAAGCAAGCAACAUUAAUGGUGGUACGUACGUACCUGAUAGUUGGUUCCUGCUCAGAUUAAUUAUUCGAGUGCAGAUAAGUUGAAGAUAGCAGCGGGUAUGAAACCAGAGAAGCCAUUACCGUACAAUUUGAUGGUUUGAAGUUUAGGAAAGGACCCAAACCACAAAGGAAUGGUUCCCAUAAAGCUAUUGUUUCCAAAGUUAAUCGCCUUCAACCGGCGCAAAAGUGAGAUUGUAUGAACAAUUUUACACCUAGAAACAUGAACCACACAGAAUCACAACUGAUUUAACAAUGAAAAAGUAUAUAAGAAAAUACACUAUCAAUAGGCUAAAACACUCUUUUAAUUGAUCUACCAAUAGCCUAAUAGGAUUAACUAAACCAUUAGAGACUGCAACAAUGAGAAAGUCUGAAGAUUAAAGUUCAAGUUGAAUGUCUUUGAACCCCUAGGUGUUGGAAACAUUUUCAGUAAAUUUGUUCAGGAAAAUAUAAAAACUCGUGAUGCAAUUCCAUUGUUUGGGAUAGCAGAUAUUUACCUAGAAUCCAACCUUAAGCUAACAUUUUUCAUAAGUUUAUUCUUUUCAUUAACUACAAUGGAAUUUAUAAAACAAUUUUAGAAAAACUCGAGUCUAGAUAAUGGACUUUUGUUCCGGUUUAAAAUUUUUUGACUUGUGUUCUAAGCAACAUAAUGUAUUCACAUUUCAAUUGUCAAAGGCAUCGCAAUAAUCCCCAAAUGAAGAUAUUAAAAAUCAUAACUUCUUCUCCAAGUUUUCAUUCAGUUUAUUUCACUUGACCAUCAGAAUUUUAUUCAAAGAAGAUUAAAUAAAGAAAAUAGCAUGCCAAAGAUUAAAAUGAGAAAGUAUAUAAAAAAAUACACUAUCAAUAGGCUAAAACACUCUUUUAAUUGAUCUACCAAUAGCCUAAUAGGAUUAACUACACCAUUAGAGACUGCAACAAUGAGAAAGUCUGAAGAUUAAAGUUCAAGUUGAAUGUCUAUGAACCCCUAGGUGUUGGAAACAUUUUCAGUAAAUUUGUUCAGGAAAAUAUAGAAACUCGUGACGCAAUUCCAUCGUCUGGGAUAACACAUAUUUACCUGGAAUCCAACCUUAAGCGAACAUUUUUCAUAAGUUUAUUCUUUUCGUUAACUACAAUGGAGUUUAUAAAACAAUUUUAGAAAAACUCGAGUCUAGAUAAUGGACUUUUGUUCCAGUUUAAAAAAAUUUGACUUGUGUUCUAAGCAACAUAAUGUAUUCACAUUUCAAUUGUCAACGACAUCGCAAUAAUCCCCGACUGAAGAUAUUAAAAAUCAUAACUUCUUCUCCAAGUUUUCAUUCAGUUUAUUUCACGUGUCCAUUAGAAUUUUAUUCAAAGAAGAUUAAAUAAAGAAAAUAGCAUGCCAAAGAUUAAAAUGAGAAAGUAUAUAAGAAAAUACACUAUCAAUAAGCUAAAACACUCUUUUAGUUGAUCUACCAAUAGCCUAAUAGGAUUAACUAAACCAUUAGAGACUGCAAUAAUGAGAAAGUCUGAAGAUUAAAGUUCAAGUUGAAUGUCUUUGAACCCCUAGGUGUUGGAAACAUUUUCAGUAAAUUUGUUCAGGAAAAUAUAGAAACUCGUGAUGCAAUUCUAUCGUCUGGGAUAACACAUAUUUACCUGGAAUCCAACCUUAAGCUAACAUUUUUUCAUAAGUUUAUUCUUUUCGUUAACUACAAUGGAAUUUAUAAAACAAUUUUAGAAAAACUCGAGUCUAGAUAAUGGACUUUUGUUCCAGUUUAAAAUUUUUUGACUUGUGUUCUAAGCAACAUAAUGUAUUCACACUUCAAUUGUCAAAGGCAUCGCAAUAAUCCCCGACUGAAGAUAUUAAAAAUCAGAACUUCUUCUCCAAGUUUUCAUUCAGUUUAUUUCACUUGUACAUCAGAAUUUUAUUCAAAGAAGAUUAAAUAAAGAAAAUAGCAUGCUAAAGAUUAAAACCCCUCAGUUCAAACUGCUAAUGCACAGCUCUGUUUGGUUUUCUUCUCCAGAGACCAAACUGAGCGAGGAGUCAAGUUCUCCAGUGCACCAUCAAUCUCCUGUUGAUAGGAGCAUAUUUAUGCGACUUAGUUGGCUUGUUCUUGUGCAUUUAUGUCGUGUCUCUUUAGUUAUUUUAGUGUUUAAAGUCAUUUUCGUGUGUUUUCAGAUUUUAAGGACAAAGUAGGCAAGAAGAUGCAUUUUGGAGCAUUUUGGAGCAAAAUGGAGCUUGGAAUGCAUGUAACAUAUUUGGAACCAAGGUUUGGACGAAAUUGAAGAAUUAAAGAGGCUAAGAAUGUGAAGAAUUAAUGUACAAAGGAUCAAGAAUUCAGCCACAAAAGAACACCCACUCCUUGCCGUGUAACCACAUAGCAUUCCCUUUGGAUUCCCAUGCAUGCUUAAUCAUCCUUGUCCCCUAAAAUAUUUCUGAUUUCAUGCCUUAAUUCACUCAAUUAUCAUACUCAAUUGCUGCAUACCUCUUGUUCCCUUCACCCAUCAGAUUUCACACAACUUUCACAACCAUUCCAUGCACCAAUUGAUGCUCCAUCAUCCACAUUUGGGAUCCAAUGCUGUGUGCAACACAUGUUGCUGCACCUUUGACUAAUUUCUGAAACAUUUCACCUCCCCUUUUUAUUUCCAUGCAAUGAACACAAUCAUUCAUGCUCCCUAGCUGAAAUACCACUCCAUUUUACCCUCCAUACUUUGCAUCAUUGCUCCAUUUUCAUCCUUGGACCAUUGCACACCACAAAUUCACCCUCCUUGCUGUGCAUUUUCCCCACUGCCCAAUCUGAUUCUCUAGGGUUUUUGGGGCCUAUAUAUACAUGUUUACACCCCUUGGCAAAGGGUUCACACUCUCAUAUUCACCAUUCAUCACAGAAAUUCGUCCAUACUCACCCUAGGCAGCAAAACACCCCAAAAAACACCAUUCUAGUGCCCAGAAAAUAUCACAGCCACUCCACCUUCUUCCACCCUCUUUGCCGAAGUUCUCCACCACCCUUCCACCAUCAAACACUCCUCUACACUCACCAUAAACCUUUCUGCACCAUAGAACUACCCAAAACCUGUCCACAAACCAAUCUGCCACAAGCAAGGGAAAUGAGGAAUCUUGGAUGCACUUGCUGCCAAGUUGGAGCAUUCUAGGUGUUUUCUUUCUUUGGAUUUUAAUGUCUAAUUCAUGUAAUCUUUGUUUUGCUUUAAGUAUGAUUGGCUAAUUUCGUUUUGGCUAAGGGUGGAUUCAAAACCAUGAUUAUAUAUGUGAAAUAAGUUGAUUACUUUCAGUUAUCGUUGUAUAAGUCGUGAAUACAAUUUGCUUAACCGUUUGAUUUAGAACUUAUUCUUGUAUGUUGGUUGAGAGUGCACGCUUAAUUUGCAUGCUUGAAUUUGAUGCUAGGAUAUAAGUUUGUUUCACCUAAUCGUUAUGAAUUUAUAUUCGUAAGUAGUGAAGGUCGCUAGUCACGAUCGUGUUAAGUAGAUUCCUGGCAAGAGUAUCAUGCUUUUCAUAGUUACGAAUGCCUUGUCGAUGCUUAUGAUUUCCAAAGAACGUAAUGAUUCUAACUUGUGUCUUUAUCAUGCUGUUCAUAUAAAGAACUUGUUGGGAAUAUUUUGUUUGCGAUGCAUAUUCAUCCAAUUCAAUGAUUCUAGGGAAAUCUGAAGGUUAAUUUAAGUGGACCUAAUUAACUUGGAGUGUCGAGAUUCAUAACUUAUUAAAUUGAUAACUGAAAAUUGAUUUAGGUUGCAUAUAUUUCAUGUGUGGAGAAGAACCCCUUAGCCAUUCCAUCAUCCAUUGAUUAUUCAUAACUUUGUGUUACAAUCUGUUUCUAUUACAAUCUGUUUUCCUUGCAAUCUGUCCAUUUAGUUCAUUUUCGUCCAAAUCAAUUCCCCAUUUAUUUUGAAGUCCUAGAUUAGUUAGAGAGUGUGUUGGUUUAUGUUUUUUAGUGUUUUGGUACAAGUUAAAACCCAAAUUCGUCCAAAUUGGUGCUUUGUGUUCAAAACUGCCCAGAAAGUGUUUUUAAGGCAGUUUUGAGUCUUUUAGUUGCUGUUUUGAGUUAUUGGUUUAUUUUAGUAUUUUAAUCGUGAGUUUUGCAUUCUUUGAGUCUAAUCUAGUGUUUAAACUUUGUUUUUACAUUUCUAAGUCAGUUUUCAAGUGUUUAGCAAUCCCUCCUAAUCCCCGGUUUAGAACGAUCCCUACUUACAUACUUUGCUACAAUUGAUAAAAAGAGGGUUUAAUUUUAUGUGUUAACUUAUUUUUCACAUCACCUGUUCAAGCAGCCAUCACCACCUCACUCGCCACUCCGGCGAGGCACCACCUUGCCACCACCCUUAUGUCUCACUCCCUCUCUACCACUCUCCCUAU